rnacentral:lncRNA from 1 species
CACACAAGCUGCCCAACAUUUUACAUGAGGAGUACACACACAAAAAUCUUGGAAAUAUGUAAAAAUAUAAACCCGUUACAAACUGGUCAACGGAAGAUACUUCACCAUAGAUCUUACUCAGCGAGGUUGCAUACAUCGAAAUCAUAUUCAGAUCUUCACGCCGUCGAUGGCUAGUGUCCCAGUGGCAUAAGUGUCAUGGUAUUUUUCUAUGUAGUCGUUGAGCUUGAUCUUCAUGUAUCGUGCAUGUCUCUUGUCAUCCACUAGCUCUAACACCGGCUCAAGUUGUGUCUCUAGCUCCAACGUAUACACCAACACCAACGACAAGCGCUCUUUCUCCGCGUUGGUGACAACCCUAUGCACGAGGCUCUUAAAAAACCCAUUGCUCAAAAUCUACAUGCAUAAGGAUGAAAUAGAGAGAUAUGUAUUACAUCUUAUCUAGACAAUCCAAAAACAAGGUCAAACAAUUAUACAUCAAUACAUGUAGCUGCCUACAAACACAUUACCUCCAUUACGUCCCCUAUGUUUAUAACCAGUGCAUUCGAAAUGAUGGGCACGUUGUACCAGACGCCGUUUUUCUCAAGCUGGAGCCCCUCAACGUCGGUGAAGUUGACGGUGAUUAUUGAGCCGUCGGUAUGGGCCUUGAGGCCCAAGACGUGGUCUGGCCUUGGACACUGAGGGUAGUAGUUGAAUAUAGCUUGGGUGAUGGAGUUGUCGCGGAUCAUGUUUACGAGGUGUUCCUCUUGUAAAUUGAACAUCUUGGCCAUGUUUUGAAGGACAAUGUUGGUCGCCGCUUUGCACCUGACCGUGUACUCACACAGGACCUCUCUGCACAGUUAUGGAUGUCGUGUUAAGACAAUUGUACCAUAUACUAGUAAUCAACUGUCGGAGUAUCAGUUUGAAAAUGGAUGUCGCUUUAUGCAUGCAUGAUAGCAGAAUCUCCAGCAGCAUGUACCAUGUAUAGAUGGUAAAAACUUACCCACAACCUUUUGGAGAGCAGAGCAGAGCAAGGCAAUAAUGGAGGGUGGUGCCCGUUUUGUAAUUGCUGGCUCAUGGUCUGCUGCUACCUACCACGCCUUGCUGCUAGUACCUACAAAUAAUGGAGGCUACUUCUGGAGAGUAAUGAAGACCACUAAAAGCAUAGUUAAUAGUAUAACCAACUGCUGGCUAUAAGCAGUCUUAUAACCCAUCUUAUAGCUAGCUUGUACAAUAGUUAGGUGUAAAAGAGUACUAAUUUUAUCAUAUAUGGUCCACCUUUCAUUUUCACAAAACACCUAGGAGCACGUGCUAGAGCUGGCUCUUCAUGAAGAGCCCGUUUCCCUUCUCUCUCCUCUUCUCUCUCAUCCAACUUAGCAAAAUAUAGUAUUUUAAUCCUUACAGCCUGCUGACUGUACCUUAUUGUACUUGCUCUAAAGGUCCGACUCUGACUUGCUGCCUCUACAGUGUGUGAGCGUGAGUGACCAGAAACCGAGAAAUAUGGAAAACUGUUUUUUGAAAAAGGAGAUUAACCCCGGCCUAUGUAACAAUCGAUGUAUACAACCAUCUUUACAGCAACUUCGACGGGACGAUCUAAACGGACGCGUGCUUUGUCCGCUUUGUAGUAAUUAACCUAGUUAUAGUCUAAAACGUGCACGUGCAAACCGAGUAGGAUUAGUAUUGCAAACCGAGUAGGACUUGUAGUUGGCUAGGUUAGGUACUAUCUAUACCUACCUAAUAAUAAAGCAGCUAUUGCUUCCGUCGAAAAACCCACCGCGGCAUUUUUAUAAAAAGCCCCUGCUACUAUUAAAAGAAACAAUUAUUCUUAGUCUCGCUUGCAAAAUAUAUUUUUAUUUCCACGUACAAAAUAAUUGUUCGAUCCUGCACGCAACGAAACAAAUCUUAGUCGGACACGCUCGCGUUCGUGCGUAGCACAUGUACGCUGGCCUAUACUAGGCCAUGUACUGCGCCUGCUGUGCGGUUACUUUGCCUAUAUGGGCCUUCUCUUAUGGACAUAAAUAAGUAACCGAAGAGUCACGUUGGGUAUAUUUCUGAUAGCUUGGUGUAUCAAGCAUGCAUGCAUGUUUCUAAAAAGAAAUAAAAUCAAGCAUGCAUGCAUGACCAACCAAAGAAGAUGAAAUUGACUAUUUGUGAAAGAGGCCAAUUAUCUAUGAUGGGAUGCAUCGUAUACCAGUAAACUAAACUACGAACAAAAAGAUUGCUUCGAUGGCCUAGAUUAGUUCAUCUUGAUUUCUUCCACUCACGUACGAUAGUGUGCAUCUGGAUGUGUAGCCUAAAUAAACAUGUUUGCCUACUUAAGUGUGUUUGCAUUCAUUUGUGAUUGUCAGUUCAUUAAUAAUAUAAGUUCAUAAGACAUAAAUUUGAAUUGUUUGGAAUACAUGUACUCAAUAUUCUUUCAUGCUUUUAUUUCCUGAUUUGUUCAUGAAAUACACAUCGAGUUAGUGUAUACUCCCUCUGUAACUAAGCAUACAGAACAUAUUGAAGUUUUGCUCAAAGAGAGAAAGAGAGACCUUAGAACUGAACACAUUUGAACACAUUAUCGUUGUAUGAGUGUUGAGGCCACUGUCGUCAACACAAAUAUGAUUCCAUGUGAAACUAAAAGACGUGGGACUAUUAAGGUUUUGAGUCAUGGUUAUUGGGUUAAAAACGUGUGUUAUUUUUUCCGUUGCAACGCACGGGUUUUUUGCUAGUAUAAUCCUAUGUAUCCCUUGUAACAGAUCAGAUCAAUCAAAGCAAUAAACAAAACAUGUGCGACACGCACACGAUUUGGCAAACAACUCGCGUCAGGUGUUUUCUCCUCGCGUGUGUUCCGGCGACUUAGUACGUAGGUGUGUACGUACUUGUCCGGCUCGCCGAUCACGUUUGUCUCCAAGCCAAGAAUCGAUCCACGUCUGCGACUCCCACGGAAAGUGCUCGUUUACGAGCAGUGUGACGUAUAUCGGGAUCAAGUGCCAACAAUUGGUAUCUAGAGUCUCGACGAUCUACGAUCUACGAUGACGGACAGCGACGCUGAGUCGGUCAAGUCCGGUAAAGACGGUGCCAAGACGAACAUGAACAGCGACAAGGUGAAAAAUGACGGCAAGUCAGCAACCAGUGGUGAAGGGAUGGACGACGCCAACGUUCAGGCGCAUCGCAACAUCUUCUUCCAGUACUCUCUUAGGAAAGACAAACUGCUCUAGAAAAAGAGCUAGACAAAGACACUCUCCAACUUUCCCCUGGGAAGACUAGUAAUGUCACGUGAGAUUAUGCAAAACCCGUUUCUGUAUAUGGGCUUCGCAUUUUUUGGAACUGACAAUCCAUGCAGUUGUUAUAAGGGCGACACUUGAUUUUCCUGUCCUGGUUUUCUAAACGGAUCGAAAACCGGGUUAAUGUAAAACCCGUUUUUCUGCGGUGCGUUUAAGCUAACGCUGAGAAUAUAUAUACAUUCAGGCAACAAACACACAUUCGGGCUAACGUACAUACACAUGUCAGCUUCUAAUUGACUGAAAAAACGACUCAAAGCCAUUUGAAUUUUAGUCGAAUGUCAAAUAAACUCUUUGGAUCUAGUGUUGUACAGGAUUUAUCCCAAUAACCAUAUUUAUUGUAUUAAAGGGACUUGCCUGUGUGUCAGGGAUUGGGUUGUUAAUUUAGGCCUGCAAGGUUUAUCUGACUAAAAUUCUUUAAUUAUCUGGCAGUCAUCUGUUUGUUCCAAGUCCAGAGGGAUAGCUGACUCUAGAAUAGGACCUACAACCCAUUGAACCUUGGAAUUUUAGUAGUUUAGCAUCAUACCUGACCUAUUGCCCAAGCAGCUCUAACUCUAGUAUUAGAUUCACCGAGAGGAAGAAUACUGCUUUAGGUGAUUAGUUGGUCAUUAGCUACUUAUAUGCCAGAUAUUUUUAUUCUUUCUGUCAAAUCAGCAAAUGCAGAAUACCGUUAGUUAGAUAUGCAAUGAUAAUUUAACUGCACUUUGUAGCUUCGGCCUUUGGGCUUGUCAAAAGCAGAAAUUGGCUACUGUAGGAGUGCUUAUGCUAAAUUGCACGCUGCGACUGCAGAGCAACUAUAUCAGCUUAACCGAUCUUUCAGAACAUUGCUCAAGUUCUGAAUAUCUACAAUCCCUGGACUAACAAUAUGAUUGAUUUAAUUUCAUGUUCAGAAAGAGUGCAAAAUAGCAAAUGUGCAUGUGUAUGGGGCAUUACUGCUCUCUGGUCUCCAUGUCGAUGCAAUGAACCAAGGUUGUACUCCCUCCGUUCCUAAAUAUAAGACCUUUUAGAGAUUCCACUAUAAACUACAUACGGAUGUAUGUAGUCAUAUUUUAGGAUGUAGAUUCACUCAUUUUGCUCCGUAUCUAGUCUAUAAUAAAAUCUCUAAAAGGUCUUAUAUUAAGGAACGGAGGGAGUACAUGUUAAAAGAAAGAACAAUGGACAGACAGUGCGAAAGGCACUGCUGAAAAUACAGAACAACUAUAUACCAUGAUGGGUUUUUCUUUCAGUCUAGAACAGAAUGAUGAAGGUUCUUGUAGCGCUCUUGUCGGCUCAUGGCAGCUGGGCUGAUAUGUCUUCUGUUGUCACUGUCCUGCCUGUGCACCAGGCUAUACACUGAACAAGUGAAACAUGCUAAACUUGUUGAAAUUGGUAGUGGACUUUAGGCCCAUUAGAGAAUUUCAGAAAAAUCUUUAAGGGCCCAUGUAUGUGGUGGCAUGACAAGGUGGUGGGAAGUUUAGUCGUACCCCGCUAGUGGAGGAGAAGUUGGACCCCUUUAUAAGGAUCUCUCUUCCACAUGCUAUUGGAGAGUGAGAAGAGAAGGUGUCCUCGCGCACUCCUCCUCCGCCGCCCACCUCGCCACGCCUCGUCACGACGCACCGCAGGUUGCGGGAAUGAGCCGAGCCGAGCUCAUACCUACGCGUUUAUUUUUGCCGGUCAGAAACGGGGAAUACAUAACGGACACGGCACGAUCCGAGACGUCGGAUCGUGGGCUGUUACCGACUCGGACGUGGGUUCGGCCCACGUCUCUCCACCCAGCCGCCUUUAUAAGCAGGCUGUCGCCUACCCUAGCCGUCACGAGAAUCAGAUCACAUCUGCCUCACGCGUUCGUUCCUUUUACUGCUGCUGCCGCCGGCGACUCCGUCCCGUUUACCGCGUACACGGUCGACGGGAGAGCAGGCCUCCGAAACCCCGCCUCUCCGGUUCCUGUACGGGAGAGGGGCAAUUAGGUUUUUGGGGAGCGAUCACGCGACUGCUCUCCUCCGUCCGUCUGCUUCGUCUACGUCCGCGUCGCCCUCGUCAUCGUCAUGUCUUCACCAAGCGAAGCUGACCGUCUCGUCCGCGAGAAAGCCGAAGCCAAGAAGAAGGUGGCAGAGGAUGCUGCCGCCGCCACCGCUGCUGCUACGGCCAAUUGGCCGAUCGGAGGGUAUGAUAUAUUUAUCCCUCUCCUGUUUCUGUCUGCAAUAGUAGUACUGCCUAUAUGCGUAGAUGUUUCUGCUAUAUGCGUAGUACUUGCUAGUAUACUCCGUGAUCAGUAUGUCAUGAACCUAGUCAAUGCUAUGUUAGUAAUUAUUUCAUGGAUUAAUCUACUCGGAAAAUUGCCUAUUUACUCAACAAUCCAAAAACCUAAUAUGUGUAGGAAUUUUUUGAGUAAUGGUUUUGUUGUUGCACUGAAACCGGAUAAGUUUACCGGUACUUUUUUCAAGCGUUGGCAAACGAGAACCACCUUAUGACUCACGGCUAUGAAUGUGUUCUGGGUAGCCGGUGUCACUCCUACGGAAACUAUCACUCCUGAACAGGAGAAGAUGUUUAAGGAGGCCACCCUCCUAUUCCUUGGAGUAGUCAUUAGCGUGAUCGGAGAUAAGUUGGUUGAUGCAUAUUUACAUAUGCAUGUUGCCAAGGACUUGUGGGAGGCGCUCGAAUCUAAAUUCGGGGCCACCGAUGCUGGGAGUGAGAUGUAUGUUAUGGAGCAGUUCCACGAUUACAAGAUGGUUGACAACCGUUCUGUAUUGGAACAGGCUCAUGAGAUAAUAUGCAUAGCUAAAGAACUUGAGGUUCUUAAGUGCAAUUUGCCGGGCAAGUUUGUCGCGGGCUGUAUAAUUGCUAAGCUCCCUACUUCCUGGAGGAACUUUGCUACUACUCUGAAACAUCAGAGGCGUGAGUUCUCAGUAGAGGACAUCAUCGGCCAUCUGAGUGUUGAGUAGAACUCGAGAGCAAAGGACUCCAAUGGAAAAGCGGUGGAAAGCUCUUCUGCUGCCAAUAUGGUACAUCAGAGGAACCUCAAUUCCCACAAGCCCAAGGGAAAGAAUUCUGUCCAACAGAAUACCAACUUCAAGAAGAAGGGAAAGAAGCCCUUCAAGAAGAAUAAGAAGGGAGAUGGCUGCUAUACUUGUGGUUCAGAGGAACAUUGGGCGAACAAGUGCCCAAACAAGUACAAGAAGCCGGCGCAGGACUCCAAGUCUGCCAAUAUGAUUGUGGGCAACAAUGAAAGUGCUGCAUCUGGGUACGAUAAUUUACUUGCUGUAUUUACAGUUUGUCAGUCCACCGAUUGGUGGGUGGACACGGGUGCAAAUAUUCAUGUGUCCGUAUUGAUGGGGAAUGGCGCGAGUGCUUCUGUUCUUGGUGUUGGCACGGUCGAUCUGAAGUUUACUUCAGGAAGGAUCGUGCAGCUGAAGAACGUGCAGCAUGUCCCCGCCAUCAAGAAGAAUCUCGUUAGUGGCUCCCUUCUGUGUAGAGAAGGGUUUAAGUUGGUAUUCGAGUCUAAUAAAGUAUUAGUUACGAAAUAUGGACUUUUCGUUGGAAAAGGUUAUGAAUGCGGAGGUCUGUUCCGCCUUUCUCUUGCAGAUUUUUGUAAUAAAGUCGUGAACAAUAUUCAUUUGAGUGUUAAUGAAUCUGAAGUUUGGCAUUCACGUCUUUGUCACAUAAGUUUCGGUGUUAUGUCGCGGCUAGCAAAACUGAAUUUAAUCCCAACUUUCACUUUAGCCAAAGGUUCUAAGUGUCAUUCGUGUGUGCAAGCAAAGCAACCUCGCAAGCCUCACAAGGCUACAGAGGAGAGACACUUGGCACCAUUAGAACUCAUACAUUCUGAUCUUUGUGAGAUGAAUGGUGUGUUGACUAAAGGUGGAAAGAAAUAUUUCAUGACAUUGAUAGAUGAUUCCACUAGAUAUUGCUAUGUGUAUCUGUUAAAUACUAAAGAUGAGGCUCUACACUACUUUAAAAUCUAUAAGGCAGAAGUUGAGAAUCAACUUGAAAAGAAAAUUAAACGAGUCCGGUCUGAUCGUGGUGGAGAGUACUUCUCAAACGAAUUUGAUUCAUUUUGUGUGGAACAUGACAUUAUUCAUGAGAGGACGCCUCCCUAUUCACCCCAGUCAAAUGGGGUUGCCGAGCGGAAAAACCGUACUCUAACUGAUUUGGUUAACGCCAUGUUAGAUACAUCGGGUUUAUCCAAGGCAUGGUGGGGGGAGGCUAUAUUGACUGCGUGUCAUGUCCUGAAUAAAGUUCCUACAAAAGAUAAUGAGGUCACUCCCUACGAGGAGUGGUCGAAGAGAAGGACGACGCUCUCGUACUUACGUACUUGGGGCUGCUUGGCGAAAGUCAAUGUACCGAUCCCCAAGAAGCGUAAGCUUGGACCAAAGACUGUGGACCGCGUUAAUUUGGGAUACGCUAAGAAUAGCGUAGGCUAUAGAUUUCUAGUAGUGAAAUCUGAGGUACCUGACGUGAAGGUCGGUACAAUAAUGGAGUCGAGGGAUGCUACAUUCUUUGAGGAUAUAUUUCCCAUGAGAGAUAUGCAAAGCACUUCUAGACAGGAAUAUGAGAUAACUCCUGAGCCUGCCAUUCCUAUGGAAUAUUAUGAACAAACACAUGAUGAUAAUCCCGAGGAGGAUAACGAGGAAACCCUUGGUAGGGGCAAGAGACAAAGGACCGCAAAGACCUUUGGUAGUGAUUUCUUCGUAUACCUCGUGGAUGAUAAUCCCACUUCUAUUUCAGAAGCGUAUGCUUCUCCAGAUGCUGAUUACUGGAAAGCUGCGGUCCGUAGCGAGAUGGAUUCCAUCAUGGCUAACGGGACAUGGGAAAUCACUGAUCGUCCCUAUGGUUGAAAACCAUUGGGAUGCAAGUGGGUGUUCAAAAGAAGCUUAGGCCCGAUGGAACGAUUGAAAAGUACAAGGCUAGGCUUGUGGCCAAGGGCUAUGCCCAGAAAGAAGAAGAAGAUUUCUUUGAUACUUACUCACCUGUGGCUAGACUGAUCACCAUUCGAGUACUACUCUCAUUGGCGGCCUCUCAUGGUCUUCUCGUUCAUCAAAUGGACGUUAAGACGGCUUUCCUGAAUGGAGAGUGAUGGGGUUAUAGUCCUAGGGUAGGGUCAUAGGCCUGCCCUAUAAGUCCUACCCAAGGACUAUCCUUCAUAAGGGAUAAGGCCCUUAGUCAGUUCCGACUGAAUUAAGGACUUCCCAUCAUCUAGUCGGUGACGAAUCCUCCAUCAUCCAGUCGGAUAUGAGCAUUCAGAGUGUAUCAAAUUAACCGACUGGAUUCCACUCUGUGCAUCGUAACCCCCUGGAGGGAAACGGUCAUACGUUUCCAUGUGCCUUUAUUAGCAUUUAAGACAUACGUUACCUGUAACGUAGGCAUUUAUUCGCCACUACUCCACUCCUGUGCACCGAACCGUUGUGAAGGGCAGCGCACUCUAUAUAAGCCACCCUUCCCCACUGGUGCAAGGGUUAGCAAUUCACUGUAAUCCAUAUUCCACUCGACAACAAGCUCCCAGAGCACUGAGACGUAGGGCUAUUACCUCCACCGUAGAGGGGCCUGAACUCCUACAACCUCGCCGUAGCUAAGGCUCUGCCCAUCCUUUCGUACCCUACACAUCUACUGUCAGACUUAUACCCACGACAGCUGGCGCCCACCUUGGGGCAGGCGUCUAAGCGACUUCCGGCGAGUUUGCGACUACAUCUUUUCGUCAUGUCAUCCGGUGGAGAUUUGAGCAUGGGUCACGAGAUCCUCUUCGGCGCUCUCUCCUUCAUCGUCGACGAUUCGGCAUGGCUUCGGGACGCCCCUCUCGAUGUCGAGGCGCUCCCCAUCGCGGGGCUACGCACUUCCGUACCGGCGCCCGCGGUAUUCUUCUUCUCCAGCAGUCGGCUCCGGUGUCGACCUACACCGCCGUCACGCGCCGCAACAAGCGGUCCCGCCGUCCGUGGCUCUAGCGUUGGGUGCAACACGCCCAGGCGCGCCAGAACGCGUCUUCACAAGUGGCGGUCCUAGUGUCGGUUGUGGUUGCCCUGCCGUCCCAGCGCUCGGACUCGGUUCCGAUUGAGUUUCCUUCCGAGUACUUGGGUCGCGGGCCUACAGCAGAAGUGCACAUGGCCAACUCCCAUGAAAGUCCCCGCCAAACUGGCCGGAACGAGCACGAGAUCGGUGAAACAUCCGGCGCUCGCCGUCCGCCUCGCCGUUCUGCCAGUCGGCACACUCGGCGGAGCAACGUGGAGGUGUUCCGCACACCCAUCCUCAACCUGGCUGCCGCUGCCAAGAUAGCCGAUUCCCUUCAGCCGACUGAUUCAGAGGCUGGCAGGGGGAUCGAGCAAAUCCGCGCCCUACUGCACACGGCGCAGCAACAAAAUUCGGCGGUCUCCGAGUCGCACAACAGGAUCCACAAUAGUUUUGUUCAUGCGAACACGCAUCGGUCAGUUCACAACCCUGGUUCUCAUCAGCGACACAGGGGAGGCAGCCGUUCCAUAAAUCCCGAAGAUCGUCGCCGUUCACGCACCCCUCCGCGGGGUGGGCCCUACGGGCCCCGACAUCAUGAUGAUCGACAUUCAGUCGGUGACACUUACGAUCCUAGGCCUGACACGAGAGGGCAUAUCGCCCAGCGGAGGGUCGACAGGGGCCGAGCCCACCGCGAUGGUCACGAUAUGGACCGUCCGAGUGGAAGCAGGACCAUCGUUUCUGGUCCCGAGUGUUUCAGUCGAGCCAUCCGUUCGGCUGACAUCCCUCCCAACUUCCGAUUGGCGACGGGGAUCAGCAAGUUUACAGGAGAAUCCAAGCCAGAAACGUGGCUGGACGACUACCAAGUGGUAGUCCAGAUCGGAGGAGGGGACGACCACAUCGCCAUGAAGCAUCUCCCUCUGAUGCUCGAUGGCUCGACACGAGCGUGGCUGAACCAGUUGGCCCCCUCAAGCAUCUACAGCUGGGCAGAUCUGGCCCGAGUCUUCAUCAGGACCUUCGAAGGGACGUGCAAACGCCCUGCUGGCCUCGUGGAGCUCCAACAUUGUGUCCAGAAGCAGAAUGAGCCCCUGCGCGAUUUCAUUCAGCGUUGGACGACCCUCUACCACACGGUGGAGAACGUCACAGAGCACCAAGCAGUCUGCGCCUUCAAGGCAGGCGUGCGGUACAGAGAUUUGUACCUGAAGUUCGGUCGAACAGGCGACAUCUCCAUGAGCAAGAUGAUGGAGAUAGCGGCACGCUAUGCAAACAGUGAAGAAGAGGACCGCAUCCGUAGCGGCAAGCACAAAGCAGUGGCCGAUGGGGAUGGGAAUAACACUUGGAAGCAGAAGCAGAAAGCUCCGUCCACUCCGCAGGCAGAAGCCGCAACUGUUACCAAUGCCAAGUUCAAAGGCAAAGGGAAGGCUCAGUUCACCCCAAGAAGAAGCAGUUCAGUAACCCCAUCCUGGACCAGCCAUGCCCGAUUCACACGAAGAUGGAUGAAGAGGGCAACACCAUAUAUCCGAAGCAUACCGCUCGGCAAUGUCGCCUCCUGAUCUAGGGGUUUGGCGAAGGGCAACCGAGUGAAAAGGGCAAUGAACAGGAUGAGGAGGACAAGGAGGAUCCGUUCCUCCAAGUCCAUGCAACACUUAUGAUUUUUGCUGAUGUUGAGAGCAAGAGUCGACUGAAGCUGGUGAACAGGGAGGUGAACAUGGCCACGCCUACCAACCCCAAGUUCUUCAAAUGGUCUCAGACUGCGAUCACCUUUGACCAGUCGGAUCAUCCAGCACACGUACACACCCCAGGGAGACAGGCUCUGGUCGUCGACCCGGUGGUAGAAGGAGUCCGACCGCGGAAAGUCCUCAUGGACAGCGGCAGUGGCUUGAACAUCAUGUACGCCGACACUCUCAAGGGGAUGGGCAUUCCGAUGUCCAAACUCAGCGAGAGCAGCAUGCAGUUCCAUGGAGUCGUCCCUGGACGAAAGGCCAAGUCACUCGGCCAGAUCGCGUUGGACGUCGUUUUCGGCUCCGACAAGAACUUGCGCAAGGAAAAGCUGACGUUCGAGGUGGUGGACUUCCAGAGCGCGUACCACGCAAUUCUGGGCCGCCCGGCGUAUGCGUGUUUCAUGGCCCGUCCAUGUUACGUGUACCUGAAGCUGAAGAUGCCAGGCCCGAAAGGUGUGAUCACUAUCACAUGCAAUCGAUAGUGAGCCGAGGAGUGUCUACAGCAGGGAUCAAGGAUCGCCGAUCAGCAGAUGGCUGUCUUCGAGCUUGACGAAUACAAGAAAACAGUCGACCCCGCUGACUUGAUGCGUGCGAAGAAGCCAGCUUCGGAGUCCGCAUUCCAGUCGGCGGGAGAGACGAAGAAGGUCAGCAUCCACCCGACGGACGACACCGCUGCCCCAACGAACAUCUCCACCACCCUCGAUCCUAAAUAGGAAGCCGAGCUCAUCCAAUUCCUUCGUGAGAACUGGGAUAUCUUCGCAUGGAAGCCCUCUGACAUGCCAGGUGUACCCAGGGAGUUGGCUGAGCACCGACUGUAUGUGGAUCCCGCCGCUCGGCCUGUUCGAGAACGCCUGCGUUGGUCCGCCGUGCACAAGAGGAAGGCAAUCGGAGAAGAGGUGGCCAAGCUUUUGGCAGCCAACUUCAUUCGCGAGGUACACCACUCCGAGUGGCUCGCCAAUGUUGUCAUGGUGCCCAAGAAGGACAAGUCGCUCCGAAUGUGCAUCGACUUCAAGCAUCUCAAUAAGGUCUGCCCGAAAGACCAUUUUCCGCUCCCCGCAUCGAUCAAAUUGUCGAUUCGACUGCGGGUUGCAAGCGUUUGUCAUUUCUUGAUGCCUACUCGGGCUAUCAUCAGAUCCGUCUGUAUGGCCCCGAUGAAUUAAAAACCGCCUUCAUCACCCCAUUCGGGUGCUUCUACUACAUCACUAUGCCAUUUGGUUUGAAGAAUGCAGGAGCAACCUUUAUGCGCAUGAUCCAAAAAUGCCUCCUCGACCAGAUCGGUUGGAAUGUGGAGGCGUAUAUGGAUGAUAUCGUAGUCAAGUCACGCAAAGGUUCCGACCUGCUGACUGACUUGGCAGAAACAUUCGCCAACCUUCGUAGGUACGAUAUCAAGCUCAACCCAGCCAAGUGCUCAUUCGGUGUUCCCAGCGGAAAGUUACUCGGUUUCUUCGUUUCCGAACGAGGGAUCGACGUCAACCCCGAAAAGAUCGAGACCAUCGUCCGAAUGGAGCGGCCGGUCAGAAUACACGAUGUUCAAAGGCUCACAGGUUGGCUAGUGGCUUUGAGCAGGUUUAUCAGUCGACUCGGCGAGAAGGCACUUCUCUGUACCAACUCAUGAAAAAUCAGAUACUUUCGAGUGGACAGACGAAGCCCAAGUCGCAUUCGAUGACCUCAAAGUCCUACUUUCCACCCAGCCGGUUCUUACUGCUCCGCCCAGUAAAGAGCCCCUUCUUCUGUACAUCGCGGCUACAAAUCAAGUCGUCAGCACUGUUCUCACAGUCGAACGAGAAGAAGAAGGCAAAGCAUACAAAGUUCAGCGGCCAGUGUAUUACGUCUCCGAAGUCCUGACUCCUUCCAAGCAGAGGUAUCCCCACUAUCAAAAACUUAUCUACGGGAUUUACAUGACUGCGAAGAAGGUGGCUCAUUAUUUCCAAGACCACUCGGUGUCCGUCGUUUCUGAUGCUCCGUUGUCGGAAAUCCUCCACAAUCGGGACGCAUCGGGCCGAGUGGCGAAGUGGGCAAUGGAGAUGUUGUACUGCGACAUCAAGUUCGAGGCCAAGAAAGGUAUUAAGUCUCAAGCUCUGGCUGACUUCAUAACAGAAUGGGUAGAACAACAGCAACCGACCCACAUCUACUCGGCUCAUUGGACAAUGUUCUUUGAUGGGUCCAAGAUGUUGAAUGGCUCCGGCGCUGGCGUUGUGAUCAUAUCGCCAAAGGGUGACAAACUCAAAUAUGUGUUGCAGAUACACUUUGAUUCCUCCAACAACGAGGCUGAGUAUGAAGCUCUCCUUUACGGACUGCACAUGGCCAUCGCACUCGGCGUCCGUCGCCUGAUGGUCUAUCGCGAUUCGGAUUUGGUGGUUAAUCAAGUGAUGAAGGAGUGGGACGUCAGGAACCCCACCAUGACCACAUACUGCAAUGCAGUGAGGAAGCUUGAGAAAAGUUCGAAGGUCUAGAACUCCACCAUGUUCCGCGACUGAAGAACCAGGCAGCUGAUGAGUUGGCAAAACUCGGAUCCACUCGGGGACCAGUCCCGAGUGACGUCUGCCUCGAGCACCUCCACCUUCCCUCAGUUAAAGAAGAUCUGUUCACAGAGGAACCAGUACAACCAAAGAGCUCAACAGAUCCGACUGAAGUCGACGUACCUGCUGUGGUUGAUUUGAUCAUGGAGAUUCUUGCUGUCAUCCCCGAUUGGACUGUGCCGAUCAUUGCAUAUAUCCUGAGGCAAGAAUUACUAGAAGACAAAGUCCAAGCCAGAUAGAUCGUCCGUAGGUCAAAGUCGUUCACUGUCAUCGACGGCCAGUUGUACAAGGAAAGCGUUUCAGGCGUUCCUCAACGAUGCAUCUCCCCAGAGGAGGGACAGUUAAUCCUGGAGGAAAUUCACUCGGGAACCUGCGGUCAUCACGCCUUUUCAAGAGCAAUCGUCGCCAAAGCAUUCAGAGCUGGCUUCUUCUGGCUGCAGGCAAAUGAAAUGGCGAAAGAUAUGGUCGACCGAUGUGAAGGCUGUCAGUUCUACUCUAACAAGUCCCACAAGCCAACAUCUGCGUUGAAGACAAUCCCUCUUGUUUGGCCGUUUGUGGUAUGCGGAUUGGAUACAGUCGAUCCAUUCAGGACAGGCCAAGGGGGAUUCACACAUCUGUUGGUGGCAGUCGACAAGUUCACAAAGUGGAUCGAAGCCAAGCCCAUCAAGAAGCUCGACGCCCUAACAACCAUCAAGUUUGUCAGGGACAUCAUCUCCAGAUUCGGGGUACCUCACAGCAUAAUCACUGACAACGGAACAAACUUUGACUAGGACAGAUUCAAAGGUUUCUGUACAAGCCAAGGUAUCCGAGUGGAUUUUGCAUCUCUGGCGCAUCCCCAAACAAACGGGCAAGCAGAGCGGGCAAAUGGACUUAUUCUGCAAGGUUUGAAGCCUCGACUCCUGCGAGAGGUGGGACAUGCCGCUCGCGCAUGGGUCACCGAGCUACCUUCGGUGCUUUGGGGUCUCCGCACAACCCCAAAUAGAUCUACAGGGCGAUCCCCGUUCUUCCUCGUUUACGGAGCAGAGGCAGUCCUUCCGAGUGACUUGCUUCACAAUGCUCCACGGGUUGAACUCUUCUCCGAAGCUGAAGCAGAACAAGCAAGGCAAGACGGAGUGGAUCUUCUAGAGGAGGAGCGCGAGAUGGCACUGACUCACUCAACCAUUUAUCAACAAGAUCUGCGGCGUUUUCACGCGCGACACGUCUGGAGUCGUACAUCCCAAGCAGGUGACCUGGUGCUCCGAGUGGAUCAGCAGAGACCUCACAAGUUGGCUCCCGCCUGGGAAGGACCCUUCAUCAUCUCCAAGGUGCUGAACAACAGUGCAUACCGACUCUACAACAUCGACAGGGAAACGGACGAGCCGCGAGCAUGGAACGAAGAUCUUCUGAAGCGCUUCUACACGUGACCGUCGACUGAAGCAAUGUAAAGAACAAGUAUUGGUGAAAUAAUACAAAGCAGAUUGAGUUUUUGCAGAUUCGAAAUUCUUCCGCGGUCGCAGACUCCAGUCUCAAAAAAACUUAGCUGCGAUCACGAAUCGCCUAAGUAUUAACUUUCUCUGAGUGUGCACUUAACAUCGCACUCGGGGACUUAGCUGCGAUCCAGAAUCGCCUAAGUACUAACUUUCUCCGAGUGUGCACUUAAUGUCGCACUCGGGGACUUAGCUGCGAUCCAGAAUCGCCUAAGUACUAACUUUCUUUGAGUGUGCACUUAACGUCGCACUCGGGUCGCUAGCUGCGAUCCAGAAUCGCCUNNNNNNNNNNNNNNNNNNNNNNNNNNNNNNNNNNNNNNNNNNNNNNNNNNNNNNNNNNNNNNNNNNNNNNNNNNNNNNNNNNNNNNNNNNNNNNNNNNNNUUCUACAGGCUCAAACUAGUUUGAGGGUCGGACCUCUAAAAUAUUUACGGGUUUAAGGGUUUAAGAGUUCUAGUCUACGCCGUUUUUCGGACGAAAACCGUAAAAAACAGUUAUUUUAAGGGUUUGGGGUUUGAGGGUUCUACUAGAGAUGCUCUUACGUCUGUUGAUCUAUGAAGCAGACAGCAUCUAGGCUUCCGAGGAAGACUUUGGAAUAUACUCUCUGUUUUCAUUUUGAGGGGGUCUUUGGAAUAUACGCGUGCCUGGUGAAGCACCUCACAGCUUGAUCUUGACGGCUAUGAGCCAAGAGGUUCAACACCUGAGACCAGCCGGGGUUACCGUCCGUUUUAUAACUCCGUUCUUCUCGGAGAAAAACCGGUGAGAUAGUCUGGUCAAUCCAAAACUGAACAACCCUUAUUUAGGAAGUUAAAACAUCUGCAGGGCAGUAAAGAGAAACCAAAAGACGGCAGCAUCUUUUGCAGACAAUGUCAGACAUUGUAACUGUAGAUGAUAUCGAGUGCCAACUGUGGAUCUGCAAUAAUUUGUAAGUUGCAUUUCAGAGCCUUCAUCUGAUAUUCACCCUAGACAGGGUCAGUUAAGCUCAGCACGUUCACCUGUUCAGUGUAUAGUGCAAAUGCACAGUGACGACUCAAGACCUGUAUUUUCAACAGUGCCUUUUGCACUGGCUGUUGAUUGUUCUUUUAAUAUGUACUACAAUCUUGCUUCACUGCGUCGACAAGGAAACCUGAGAGCAGUAAUGCCCCAUACACAUGUGCAAAUUUGCUAUUUUGCACGCUUUCUAAACAGGAAAAUGAAACACUCAUUUUCGUUAGUCUAAUGACUGUAGAUGUCAGAACUUGAGGCAAUGUCCUGAAAGAUCAGUUAAGGUGAUUAGGCUGGUAUGAUCGCUCACCGGUCAUAUACUGCAACUCAACAAAAACACUCCUACAGCAGCCAAUUUCUGCCCUUUGACAAACCUGGAGCCACAAACUACAGUUGAAUUAUCAUUGCAUAUGUAACUAAUGGUAAAGGGUGGUUGAUUAUAUGGAAAGAAAAAAGCCCAUCUGGCAUAUGACCAAUUAAUCAUCAAAAAUAAAUAUUCUUCCUCUCAGUGAAUCUCAUACUAAGGUUAGAUUUGCUCAGGAUUAUGUAGCCACAGGUCAGGAAAGAUGCUAAACUACUACAAUUCCUGGUUGCUUGGGUUGCAUGUCCUAUUCUUGGGUCAGCUAUCCCUUCAGACUUGGAACAAACAGCAUGACCGGGAGAUACUUAAACAGUCUAUAUCUAAUAAUAAAGCGGCUAUUGCUUUCGUCGGAAAACCCACCACGGCAUUUUUAUAAAAAAGCCCUUGUAAUUUUGUUAUUCAACCCGUGCUCCAUCAUUUAUCUGCAACGCAAAAGGAAAAACGAUUCGCUGCAAAAAUUAUACCCGUACGCAUCGCCUCCUCCCGUCGAUCCUGGGCCACCCUGGCAUGUGCCUAGGCCGCCGCCACAUCACUCGCCGCCGCGGCCGACCUCAACCCCACCUCUGCCGAUCUCAACCCACCCGCCUCCGCGGUCGUACCUCUCCCUACUCACUGCCCCUGUUGCGGCGCUCGAGCGCAUCGCGUCGACCCUGCUCCACCCUAGGCUGUGCCCAGGCCGCUGCCACACCACUCGUCGCCGCGGCCGACCUCAACCACCACUGUUGUCGAUCUCAACCCACCCGCCUCCACGGCCGUACCUCUGCCCGCUUGCUGCCCCGUUUCGACGCUCGAGCACAACUUCUGGAUCAAAUCAACGCGACAGCUACAGUGACUGGGGAUGAUGCGUCUGCUCGAUGCAGAACGGCGGCGGCGCGCGGAUAAGACGCGGCGGAGCAAAUUACUUGCAGGUGGAGGCGGGCCUCCAUGACUCACACGGGGAACUCCGAGGUUAUGGCGCGGCAACAACGACUCCUUAUGGCCACAUAGAGGCGCCUAACCCUGGCUCUCCUCUUCGUAUCCUCUCCUCCGGCAGGAACUCAUCAUCUCGUGAGAUCCCCUCCCCAUGCCUCCAACCGUGUGCCAAGCACCGACAAGAAAAUUUGUUUUAUGGUGAUUUAUUUACUGAUGAAUGAAUGUAUUGAAUGUAAGAUUGUAUUGUUGUAGAGACAGAGAAUGAAACACCACCUUCAGUUUGUCAUCUGAUCCCACAUUCUCUACCCCAUGAAUGAAAUAAGAUAACAGUCAAUUGAUCAAUUCAGGUAGCCUCUUUGUUUUGCUUUGCUUGUCCCGCUCAAUUUCUCAUCAUGAUAAAAUUAACAAUGGACGGGUUGAUUUCUCAACAAAAUAGGAUAGGACUGACUACAUUAGUUAGUUAGCUUAUUAUUUUAAUAAAUCAAACUGAUUAUAAAAAGACUAAAAGCGUGUGGUAUUUUUUCUCCCGUUGCAACGCACGGACCCUUUUGCUAGUAUUAGUCAAAUAAACCUAACAGAACCACAGCUUAUUCAAGUACCUAGGUUAACAAGCACGCACAUAGCAAAUGCAAGCAUAGUAAAUACAAUCGCACGAGAAGGCCAAAUGAAAACUGACAAGCAUUCUCUGAUGAUAUAUACAAGACAAUAUUAUUAUUACUACUAGAGGAUCGAACACUUAUUAUUUAGGAGGGCUGACAAUCUCGAGUGCAAGCUAACAGGAAGUCAGUUCAGAACUUGGAUCAAACUGCAUCGAAUUGGGACGUGUUCCAUGCUUUAAAAAAAGCAGUACAAGAACUUUGGAAACAGAUCCUGUCAACAACACAAAAAUAAAUAAAUCCAAAUAUCGUACGCCAUCACUUUCAGAAUUAAAACAUCUGCGCGGCGGCAGUAAAUAGUUGACAUAUAAUCUAAAAAUAGUGGAUGACAUCAUGCACCAACCAAUUGCACUUCAGAGACUUCACACAGAGUCAGUUUUGUUGAGUAAAUAGGCAAUUUUCCGAGUAGAUUAAUACAUGAAAUAAUUACUAACAUGACAUUGACUAGGUUCAUGACAUACUGAUCAGGGAGUAUACUAGCAAGUACUACGCAUAUAGCAGAAACAUCUACGCAUAUAGGCAGUACUAUUAUUGCAGACAAAAACAGGAGAGGGAUAAACAUAUCAUACCCUCCGAUCGGCCAAUUGGCCGUAGCAGCAGCGGUGGCGGCGGCAGCAUCCUCUGCCGCCUUCUUCUCGACUUCGGCCUUCUCGCGGACGAGACGGUCAGCUUCGCUUGGUGAAGACAUGACGAUGACGAGGGCGACGCGGACGUAGACGAAGCAGACGGACGGAGGCGAGCAGUCGCGUGAUCGCUCCCCAAAAACCUAAUCNNNNNNNNNNNNNNNNNNNNNNNNNNNNNNNNNNNNNNNNNNNNNNNNNNNNNNNNNNNNNNNNNNNNNNNNNNNNNNNNNNNNNNNNNNNNNNNNNNNNGGGUGACGGGGAGCAUAGGCCKRKSGRSCAGCAGGGGACGACGCUAGGGCCGACGGGGACGAAGUGGUCGGGACGGCGGGCGGGGUGGUGGCCGGCGGUGUGUGUAGGGUCGGGAGAGAUGGCGGUGGAGGAAGGAUCCGGCGGAGUUGAGAGUCCCUCCGGUCUCUCGUCGCUAGUCCUCCCGGUCCUUUUGUUGGGGAACGUCGCAUGGGAAACAAAAUUUUCCUACGUGCACGAAGACCUAUCAUGGUGAUGUCCAUCUACGAGAGGGGAUGUGUGAUCUACGUACCCUUGUAGACCGUACAGCAGAAGCGUUAGUGAACGCGGUUGAUGUAGUGGAACGUCCUCACGUCCCUCGAUCCGCCCCGCGGACUAUCCCGCGAUCAGUCCCACGAUCUAGUGCCAAACAGACGGCACCUCCGCGUUCAGCACACGUAUAGCUCGACGAUGAUCUCGGCCUUCUUGAUCCAUCAAGAGAGACGGAGAGGUAGAAGAGUUCUCCGGCAGCGUGACGGCGCUCCGGAGGUUGGUGAUGAUCUCGUCUCAGCAGGGCUCCGCCCGAGCUCCGCAAAAACGCGAUCUAGAGGUAAAACCGUGGAGAUAUGUGGUCGGGCUGCCGUGGCAAAGUUGUCUCAAAUCAGCCCUAAAACCUCCGUAUAUAUAGGGGGAAGAGGGGGAGCCUUGCCUUGGGGUCCAAGGACCCCUAAGGGCUUCGGCCGAGCCAAGGGGGAAGGUCUCCCUCCCCAAACCGAGUCCUACUUGGUUUGGAAGGUGGAGUCCUUCUUCCCUUUCCCACCUCCUCCUUUCUUUUUUCUCUUUCUUUUUUCUUCCAAUGCGCAUAGGGCUCUUUUGGGCUGUCCCACCAGCCCACUAAGGGCUGGUGCGCCACCCUCAAUGCCUAUGGGCUUCCCCGGGGUGGGUUGCCCCCCCCCGGUGAACCCCCGGUGAAGUGGCUGUGGUGUUCCAGGCGGUGUCAAUUGUGAAACAAUUCCACAUUGUCUUAAGUGAGCACCAAACUCGAAACUCAGAUAUUCACCCCCACGAUCAGACCGUAGGAACUUGAUCUUCUUGUUACGAUGAUUUUCAACUUCACUCUGAAAUUGCUUGAACUUUUCAAAUGUUUCAGACUCGUGCUUCAUCAAGUAGACAUAACCAUAUCUACUCAAAUCGUCAGUGAAGGUGAGAACAUAACGAUAUCCGCCGCGUGCCUCCAUGCUCAUCGGACCACACACAUCGGUAUGUAUGAUUUCCAACAAGUCACUUGCACGCUCCAUUGUUCCGGAGAACGGAGUUUUAGUCAUCUUGCCCAUGAGGCAUGGUUCGCACGUGUCAAGUGAAUCAAAGUCAAGUGACUCCAAAAGUCCAUCGGCAUGGAGUUUCUUCAUGCGCUUUACACCAAUAUGACCUAAGCGGCAGUGCCACAAAAAUAUGGCGCUAUCAUUGUUAACUCUAACUCUUUUGGUCUCAAUGUUAUGUGUGUGUGUGUAUCACUAUCAAGAUUCAAUAUGGGCAAUCCUCUCACAUUGGGUGCAUGACCAUAAAAGAUGUUACUCAUAGAAAUAGAACAACCAUUAUUCUCUGACUUAAAAGAGUAACCGUCUCGCAAUAAACAAGAUCCAAAUAUAAUGUUCAUGCUCAACGCAGGCACUAAAUAACAAUGAUUCAAGUUCAUAACUAAUCCUGAUGGUAACUGAAGUGAAACUGUGCCGACGGCGAUUGCAUCAACCUUGGAACCAUUUCCUACGCGCAUCGUCACUUCAUCUUUCGCCAGCCUUCGUCUAUUCCGCAAUUCCUGUUUCGAGUUGCAGAUAUGAGCAACAGAACCGGUAUCGAAUACCCAUGCACUACUACGAGAGCCGGUUAAGUACACAUCAAUAACAUGUAUAUCAAAUAUACCUGAUUUUUCUUUGGCCGCCUUCUUUUCAGCCAGAUACUUGGGGCAAUUGCGCUUCCAGUGACCCAUACCCUUGCAAUAGUAACACUCUGUUUCAGGCUUAGGUCCAGCUUUGGGUUUCUUCGUCGGAUUGGCAACAGGCUUGCCGCUCUUCUUCGAAUUACCCUUCUUGCCUUUGCCGUUUCUCUUGAAACUAGUGGUCUUAUUCACCAUCAACACUUGAUGCUCUUUACGGAGUUCAGACUAUGCGACUUUCAGCAUCGCAAACAACUCGCCGGGAGACUUGUUCAUCCCUUGCAUGUUGUAGUUCAACACAAAGCCUUUAUAGCUUGGCGGCAGGGAUUGAAGGAUUCUGUCAGUGAUAGCUUCUUGCGGGAGUUCAAUGCCCAGCUCAGCUAGACGGUUUGAGUACCCAGACAUUUUGAGCACAUGUUCACUGACAGACGAAUUCUCCUCCAUCUUGCAAGCAUAGAAUUUAUCGGAGGUCUCAUACCUCUCGAUCCGGGCGUUCUUCUGAAAGAUAAACUUCAACUCUUGGAACAUCUCAAAUGCUGCAUGAUGCUCAAAGCGACGUUGAAGUCCCGGUUCUAAGCCAUACAAGACUGCACAUUGAACUACUGAGUAGUCCUCCUUACGUGCUAACCAAGCGUUCUUAACAUCCUGAUCAGCCGUAGCGGGUGGUUCAUCUCCUAGCGCAGCAUUAAGGACAUAAUCCUUCUUCCCAGCUUGUAAGAUUAGCUUAAGAUUACGAGCCCAGUCUACAAAGUUGCUUCCAUCAUCUUUCGACUUAGCUUUCUCUAGGAACGUAUUAAAAUUGAGGGUGACUGUCGCGUGAGCCAUGAUCUACAACACAAAUAUAUGCAAAGUGGACUUAGACUAUGUUCAAGAUAAUUAGAGUUUAACUUAAUCAAAUUACUCGCUAAACUCCCACUCAAAAGUACAUCUCUCUAGCCAUUUGAGUGGUUCAUGAUCCACUUACACUAGCUCAAGUCCGAUCAUCACGUGAGUUGAGCAUAGUUUCAGUGGUAAGCAUCCCCAUGCUAAUCAUAUCAUCUAUAUGAUUCAUGAUCGACCUUUCGGUCUCAUGUGUUCCGAGGCCAUGUCUGCACAUGCUAGGCUCGUCAAGCUUAACCCGAGUGUUCCGCGUGCGCAACUGUUUUGCACCCGUUGUAUGUGAACGUUGAGUCUAUCACACCCGAUCAUCACGUGGUGUCUCGAAACGACGAACUGUAGCAACGGUGCACAGUCGGGGAGAACACAAUUUCGUCUUGAUAUUUUAGUGAGAGAUCACCUCAUAAUGCUACCGUCGUUCUAAGCAAAAUAAGGUGCAUAAAAGGAUUAACAUCACAUGCAAUUCAUAAGUGACAUGAUAUGGCCAUCAUCACGUGCUCCUUGAUCUCCAUCACCAAAGCAUCGGCACGAUCUUCUUGUCACCGGCGCCACACCAUGAUCUUCAUCAACGUGUCGCCAUCGGGGUUGUCGUGCUACUCAUGCUAUUACUACUAAAGCUACAUCCUAGCAAAAUAGUAAACGCAUCUGCAAGCACAAACGUUAGUUAUAAAGACAACCCUAUGGCUCCUGCCGGUUGCCGUACCAUCGACGUGCAAGUCGAUAUUAUCUAUUACAACAUGAUCAUCUCAUACAUCCAAUAUAUCACAUCACAUCAGUGGCCAUAUCACAUCACAAGCAUACCCUGCAAAACAAGUUAAACGUCCUCUAAUUUUGUUGUUGCAUGUUUUACGUGGUGACCAUGGGUAUCUAGUAGGAUCGCAUCUUACUUACGCAAACACCACAACGGAGAUAUAUGAGUUGCUAUUUAACCUCAUCCAAGGACCUCCUCGGUCAAAUCCGAUUCAACUAAAGUUGGAGAAACUGACACCCGCCAGUCAUCUUUGAGCAACGGAGUUACUCGUAGCGAUGAAACCAGUCUCUCGUAAGCGUACGAGUAAUGUCGGUCCAAGCCGCUUCGAUCCAACAAUACCGCGGAAUCAAGAAAAGACUAAGGAGGGCAGCAAAACGCACAUCACCGCCCACAAAAACUUUUGUGUUCUACUCGAGAAGACAUCUACGCAUGAACCUAGCUCAUGAUGCCAGUGUUGGGGAAUGUCGCAUGGGAAACAAAAAUUUUCCUACGCGCACGAAGACCUAUCAUGGUGAUGUCCAUCUGCGAGAGGGGAUGUGUGAUCUACGUACCCUUGUAGACCGUAUAGCAGAAGCGUUAGUGAACACGGUUGAUGUAGUGGAACGUCCUCACGUCCCUCGAUCCGCCCCGCGAACUAUCCCGCGAUCAGUCCCACGAUCUAGUGCCAAACGGACGGCACCUCCGCGUUCAGCACACGUACAACUCGACGAUGAUCUCGGCCUUCUUGAUCCAGCAAGAGAGACGGAGAGGUAGAAGAGUUCUCCGGCAGCGUGACGACGCUCCGGAGGUUGGUGAUGAUCUCGUCUCAGCAGGGCUCCGCUCGAGCUCCGCAAAAACGCGAUCUAGAGGUAAAACCGUGGAGAUAUGUGGUCGGGCUGCCGUGACAAAGUUGUCUCAAAUCAGCCCUAAAACCUCCGUAUAUAUAGGGCGAAGAGGGGGAGCCUUGCCUUGGGGUCCAAGGACCCCUAAGGGCUUCGGCCGAGCCAAGGGGGAAGGUCUCCCUCCCCAAACCGAGUCCUACUUGGUUUGGAAGGUGGAGUCCUUCUUCCCUUUCCCACCUCCUCCUUUUUUUCUCUUUGAUUUUUUCUUCCAAUGCGCAUAGGGCUCUUUUGGGCUGUCCCACCAGCCCACUAAGGGCUGGUGCACCACCCUCAAUGCCUAUGGGCUUCCCCGGGGUGGGUUGCCCCCCGGUGAACUCCCGGAACCCAUUCGUCAUUCCCGGUAGAUUCCCGGUAACUCCGAAAACCUUCCGGUAAUCAAAUGAGGUCAUCCUAUAUAUCAAUCUUCAUUUCCGGACCAUUCUGGAAACCCUCGUGACGUCCGUGAUCUCAUCCGGGACUCCGAACAACAUUCGGUAACCAACCAUAUAACUCAAAUACGCAUAAAACAACGUCGAACCUUAAGUGUGCAGACCCUGCGGGUUCGAGAACUAUGUAGACAUGACCCGAGAGACUCCUCGGUCAAUAUCCAAUAGCGGGACCUGGAUGCCCAUAUUGGAUCCUACAUAUUCUGCGAAGAUCUUAUCGUUUGAACCUCAGUGCCAAGGAUUCAUAUAAUCCCGUAUGUCAUUCCCUUUGUCCUUCGGUAUGUUACUUGCCCGAGAUUCGAUCGUCAGUAUCCGCAUACCUAUUUCAAUCUCGUUUACCGGUAAGUCUCUUUACUCGUUCCGUAAUACAAGAUCCCGCAACUUACACUAAGUCACAUUGCUUGCAAGGCUUGUGUGUGAUGUUGUAUUACCGAGUGGGCCCCGAGAUACCUCUCCGUCACACGGAGUGACAAAUCCCAGUCUCGAUCCAUACUAACUCAACGAAGACCUUCGGAGAUACCUGUAGAGCAUCUUUAUAGUCACCCAGUUACGUUGCGACGUUUGAUACACACAAAGUAUUCCUCCGGUGUUAGUGAGUUAUAUGAUCUCAUGGUCAUAGGAACAAAUACUUGACACGCAGAAAACAGUAGCAAUAAAAUGACACGAUCAACAUGCUACGUCUAUUAGUUUGGGUCUAGUCCAUCACGUGAUUCUCCUAAUGACGUGAUCCAGUUAUCAAGCAACAACACCUUGUUUAUAAUCAGAAGACACUGACUAUCGUUGAUCAACUGACUAGCCAACUAGAGGCUUGCUAAGGACAGUGUUUUGUCUAUGUAUCCACACAUGUAUAUAAGUCUUCAUUCAAUACAAUUAUAGCAUGGAUAAUAAACGAUUAUCUUGAUACAGGAAUUAUAAUAAUAACUAUAUUUAUUAUUGCCUCUAGGACAUAAUUCCAACACCUUUUUUUCUGAGCGCUAGUCACUAGCCCAAGGAAGGAUCGGGUACGGAAUGACGAUAUACGAGAGAGACUUGGGGUAGCACCGAUUGAAGAGAAGCUGGUCCAACAUCGUCUCAGAUGGUUUGGACAUAUUCAAUGGAGGCCAUCGGAAGUGCCGGUGCAUAGCGGACGGAUAAAGCGUGUUGAGAAUGUUAAGAGGGGUCGUGGUAGACCAAACUUGACAUGGAAGGAGUCCGUUAAGAGAGACCUGAAGGUUUGGAAUAUCGACAAAGACUUAGCCAUGGACAGGGGUGCGUGGAAGUUAGCUAUCCACGUUCCAGAGCCAUGACUUGAUUUCGAGAUCUUAUGGGUUUCAACUCUAGCCUACCCCAACUUGUUUGGGACUGAAAGGCUUGGUUGUUGUUGUUGUUUUGUUGCUAGUCGCUAGCCCAAAGAAUAGCGUUAUAAUCUAGUCCAGUCAAUGUCAAGUAUCAGGUGGUUCAAUAAAAAUGUGAAGUAUCAGGUUGAGUUUAGCGUUAUGGUGGAUUAUGACAAUCCCGUUUGCCAAUCUUUUCUAAGUGCUUGGGUGACCUGUUUUUGCAUACCUUGGUGGCUAAUUUUUCACAUUUUUUACAAAAUAAGAAAAACGCAACACAGUUCGACAACCGCAAACUGAGCUUAGUAGUACAUAACUUGUCUGGUUCCACCAAAUUAGAUUUUCGUUUUCUCUCGAUUAAUUGAGCAUUUUGAUACAGUGCAUAUUUUACCAAAUACCGUGCCUUUUAUUCAUGUAUUAAAGAUUGUAUCAAAGAAAGUGAGACGAGGACAAAGAACCUGAAAUUAUCUCACUUUUUAGGCACCGGUUUGGGCAUAUAUACAUGCUUGGCACCUUGCUCAUGCCCUUAUGAACAGCGAGAUUGAUAAUAGAUCAGCAUUCUGCAUUCAUCGUUACAACUUACUCCCUUUGUCAACUAAUAUAAAAACGUUUAGGCCCUGUUUGAAACCAUAAUAGAUUAUGAUAAUCUGGAUUAUGAAGAUAGAUUAUAUAAUCUGGUUUAUAAAAAUAAUCUAAAUGGACAUGUUUGGAGGCCAGAUUAUAUAAACUGCAAUCCAGGUUUUACAUUGCAUAAUGACCUGUCUGUCCUCUGUUUUUAAAAGAAAGGAGGGUGGCGGUGGUAGGAAUGUAAUUACCUCCAACUUUACAAGGGUAAUGGGUCAUUAGCAAUCCAUAAUCUGAUUUUAGCUAGUGUAGAGUAGAUUAUGAGUUUUUAAUAAUCUGUCCAUCUAGUUUUUGUAAUCUACAUCAUAAUCUGUCCUGUUUGAAGACAAAAUAGAUUAUAAAAACUGGAUUAUAUAAUCUGGAUGGUUCUAAACAGGGCCUCAGAUCACUACUUUGAUGAUCUAAACGCUUUUAUAUUAGUUGACAAAGGGAGUACAAGUUAUGGUAUAGUGCUCCCAGCCUUAGGUCAGGUAAAUGUGCAGUAGACCAGCAUUAAUCGGUACACCAGUAUAUUAUUUUACUAUGGCGCAACCGAAUAUACAUAUAUAUGAUAAUUCCUCAAAACAACAGUGACGAAAAUAGUGUAAAAAGAGAAGAAUGUCAUCGAAUAUUCAUUUCUGAGCCUAGGCUCAUCGGCUUUCUGCGGAAUGGUAAUACCGGGGAAAAUGCUGGAAUGUAUAAUCGUUCAUCGCGGUCCACAGCUGCAUUGGCAGCAAAGACAAGGUGGACAAAUGGGCCCGGCUUCUGCAAAAAACACACACAACUUGGUUAUAGGUUACUACUCCCUCUGCACCUAAAUUACUGUAGUUGAAGAAAACUAGACUAGUUCUCCCAACUACUAUUAUUUAGGUAUAGAGAAAAUACAACUCUACAUGUAUAUCUGGUAAUAAAAGGAACCACGUUACCCAUCUUCACUAUAAUGGCCUUAACUUCUAGCAAAGCAUAGGACAUCCAAUCAAAUUACUUUGUAAUGAAUUUUAACUCCAUGUUAGUUAAUUUUGGCCUCACAGACUUGUAUUUGUAAUUUUUAUAUAAAAUAUGUCUUAGAACAUUUUGUUCUACGGUUAGAGGUUUCAAAAAAAAACUCCAUGUUAGUUCUAGAGGCUGGGGGUGUGCCCUCCUUUUCGAAUAAUAAUAAUAACAAUAAUAAUAAGGGUUUCUACUAUAUUAAACCUAAGGUGAUCUACUCCUGAUGGCUCAUCAGAGUGUAUCAGGUGAAAAUGAGAACAUUCCUGGAAUCAAACUAAUAGUCAGGAUAUCAUGAGAUGCAGGGAGAUUAUUUGUCCUGGUAGUUCCCGCAAAAAGAACAAAUAGUAAAACUAAAAGUAGACAUUGCCUUAUUAAAAAACUCCAUUUCUGUGAAUAAAACUGGUAUCAACCUGCUCUAAAGAAAGCUACAGAUUUCACUUAGUAGAUUCGCAAGGCAGAGUACAUACGUGAUGAAGAUGCCGCACGGUUCAGGAAAACGAGCAGAAUGAUCCCAGUUGUAACAACUCGAAGAACCAAGAGGUACCACCAAGCCAUUGUGAGGCAAAUGAAGGCAGCUGCAUUCACUAUGGUUGGUUCUUAUGCUUCGUCUUCGUCUAAAUAAAGGAUCUGUACCGGUAAUACAGAAAACAUGCAACAACUAAACAAGAACUUUCAGUAACUUUGACUGGAAAGACAGUGAUGUUUUUUAUAAGACGGCAAAGUAAACAGAGAAAAUUUUGUCAAAGGUGAACAAGAAUCUUUGACCGGACCAUGUUGAAUGGGAAAUGGUAUUCCGAUGGCAGCGGCGUGCGUGCGUGCUCCUAUUUUUCUGCAUCAACUACUUGUUACGCAAAGCAGCACACGACGUUUUACGGAAACUUCUAAGUUUAAUAUGGUCACAUUAGUCACUGUCUACUAACGAAGUUGGACAGGUUCUUCUCCCGAAACUUUCAAAACAUCAUUGCCCCUAAUUUUCUUGUUCAGGGACAUUGACAAACCUCACAUUAGUUACGGUCUACUAACAAAGUUGGACAUGUUCCUCUCCUAGAACUUUCAGAAACGUCUUUGUCCCCAGCUGUCCUAUUCAGGGACAGAUAAACUUAUACGACUUGCAAACCUCGCAUUAGUUAUGAUCUACUAACAAUGUUGGAUAGGUUUUUCUCGCAGAACUUUCAUAAAGUUCAUUGCCCGGAAAUUGUCCUGUUCAGAGGGUUAGAAACUUAUAUGACUUAUUACUACAAACUAACAAAUCUUAUAGUCCAAGUUAAUAUUAUUCAAUUUUUGACAUACAUCCAAUGUGGACAUGUAUUGACUAACAAACUGGUACUCUUCCACCGAGGAAACUCCAACCAUAGUUCCAGAAGUUUAUAAACGGCACGUUGCAAAGUUUCAGUUCUGAACCAAAACUAGACUUGCAUGCACCAAGAACAAUCAGCUAAAGACUAGUGAAUAGUGACCUGACCUCUACAACCCAGCAACAUACCUCUAUAAAAAGCAAAUUAUUGCUCUUCCAGAAUCAGAUCAGCCCAAAAUUCACGGUUUCAUAUCAACCAGAUGGGUUGGGCAGUGGUGUUGGCCAUCCUCAUCUCAUCGGUUUUGCAUCCCUUGUUGCUGACAACUUUAGCUGAUGAAUCCGACAACAACCGAGACGCUUUGCUCUGCCUCAAGUCUCGCCUCUCCAUCACCACAUGGAACACCACCUCACCAGAUUUCUGCAGUUGGCGUGGUGUCUCGUGCACAAGGCAGCCACAACUACCAGUAGUGGUGGCCUUGGACUUGGAGGCACAAGGCCUCACCGGCGAAAUCCCACCCUGCAUGUCCAACCUCACCUCGCUGGUGCGAAUCCACUUGCCGAGCAACCAGCUCUCCGGUCAUCUCCCACCAGAGAUUGGCCGGCUCACUGGACUCCAGUACCUCAACCUCAGCUCCAACGCGCUCAGCGGAGAGAUCCCGCAAUCACUGUCGUUAUGCUCUAGCCUUGAGGUCGUGGCACUGAGAAGCAACUCCAUUGAAGGUGUGAUCCCGUUGAGCCUCGGUACGCUCCGCAACCUUUCCUCUCUAGACUUGUCCAGCAAUGAACUUUCUGGUGAGAUUCCACCUCUACUCGGGAGCUCACCGGCUUUGGAGUCUGUCAGUCUCACCAACAACUUUCUCAAUGGAGAAAUCCCGCUGUUUUUGGCAAAUUGUACCUCACUUCGCUACCUUUCUCUACAAAACAACAGUCUUGCUGGGGCCAUACCGGCAGCUCUUUUCAACAGCUUAACCAUCACAGAAAUACAUAUUUCGAUGAACAAUCUUUCUGGGUCAAUUCCACUUUUCACAAACUUCCCUUCAAAGCUCGACUACCUCGAUUUAACAGGGAACAGCCUAACCGGAACUGUGCCGCCCUCAGUAGGAAAUCUCACACGGCUUACCGGUCUGUUAAUUGCGCAAAACCAGUUGCAGGGAAACAUUCCGGAUCUAUCCAAGCUAUCAGACCUGCAAUUCCUUGACCUCUCAUACAACAAUCUAUCAGGGAUAGUGCCACCAUCUAUUUACAAUUUACCUUUGCUGAGAUUCCUUGGGUUGGCCAACAAUAAUCUUCGAGGAACACUUCCUUCUGAUAUGGGGAACACUCUUUCUAACAUCAAUUCAUUGAUCAUGUCUAACAAUCAUUUUGAGGGUGAGAUUCCGGCAUCGCUAGCCAAUGCCUCCAGCAUGGAGUUCCUGUAUCUCGGCAACAAUUCGCUGAGCGGGGUGGUUCCUUCCUUCGGCUCCAUGUCGAAUUUGCAGGUUGUAAUGCUGCACUCAAAUCAGCUAGAAGCUGGAGACUGGACAUUCUUGUCAUCCUUAGCAAAUUGUACAGAGCUGCAAAAGCUGAACUUGGGUGGAAACAAACUAAGCGGUAAUUUGCCGGCUGGUUCUGUAGCAACCCUGCCGAAAAGGAUGAAUGGCUUGACUCUGCAGUCAAACUACAUAUCUGGCACCAUUCCCUUGGAGAUUGGGAACCUGUCUGAAAUUUCCCUACUUUACCUUGAUAACAAUCUUUUCACAGGGCCUAUACCUUCUACUCUUGGCCAGCUAAGCAAUUUGUUUAUUCUUGACCUAUCCUGGAACAAGUUCUCUGGAGAAAUUCCACCUUCCAUGGGUAACUUGAAUCAGCUGACGGAAUUUUAUUUACAAGAAAAUGAAUUAACUGGAAGCAUACCCACAAGUUUAGCUGGCUGCAAGAAAUUGGUGGCACUAAACCUUUCCAGCAAUGGCCUCAAUGGGAGCAUCAACGGGCCCAUGUUUAGCAAGUUGUAUCAGCUGAGUUGGUUACUUGACAUAUCACAUAACCAGUUCAGAGACUCCAUACCUCCAGAAAUUGGUAGCUUGAUAAACCUUGGUUCCUUGAACCUUUCGCACAACAAACUCACAGGUAAAAUUCCAUCCACACUUGGUGCAUGUGUCCGGUUGGAAUCACUGAACUUAGGCGGGAACCACCUAGAAGGAAGCAUUCCACAAUCACUGGCAAACCUGAAGGGUGUCAAAGCAUUAGAUUUCUCCCAAAACAAUUUAUCCGGUACAAUACCAAAAUUCCUUGAGACAUUCACUUCACUGCAGUACCUAAAUAUGUCCUUUAACAACUUUGAGGGGCCAGUUCCAAUAGGUGGAGUCUUUGACAACACAAGUGGUGUUUCUUUCCAAGGAAAUGCACUUCUUUGUUCAAAUGCUCAAGUCAAUGAUUUACCCAGGUGCUCCACCUCGGCAUCUCAGAGAAAGCGCAAGUUCAUUGUUCCAUUGUUGGCAGCUCUGUCAGCUGUUGUUGCAUUGGCCUUGAUCUUAGGGCUGGUUUUCCUGGUUUUCCAUAUUUUGAGAAAGAAGAGGGAGAGAUCAAGUCAGUCUAUUGACCACACAUAUACAGAGUUUAAAAGGCUAACAUACAAUGAUGUAAGCAAAGCAACGAAUGGCUUCUCUCCAACCAAUAUAGUUGGUUCUGGGCAAUUCGGGAUAGUGUAUAAAGGUCAGUUGGAUGGAAAAGACAGCUCGGUUGCUGUUAAAGUAUUCAAACUUAAUCAGUAUGGUGCAUUGGAUAGCUUUAUUGCUGAGUGCAAAGCUUUGCGGAACAUCCGGCACCGAAAUCUCGUGAGUGUCAUAACUGCAUGCUCAACUUACGAUCUGAUGGGGAAUGAGUUCAAAGCUCUGGUCUUCCAAUAUAUGGCAAAUGGUAGCCUUGAGAAUCGACUUCAUGCUAAGCUCCAGAACAAUGCUGAUUUGAGUUUGGGAACAGUGAUAUGCAUAGCAGUAGACAUUGCGUCUGCUCUGGAAUACCUUCAUAACCAAUGCACCCCACCAGUGGUUCACUGUGAUUUGAAGCCAAGCAAUAUACUCUUUGACGAUGAUGAUACUUCGUAUGUCUGUGAUUUUGGGCUAGCAAGGUUAAUUCAUGGUUAUUCAUCUGAAGCUCAGAGCAGCUCAACAAGCAUAGCUGGACCAGGGGGGACUAUUGGAUACAUCGCUCCUGGUGGGUAACUAAAACUAGCCUGAAUUACUAUUUUACUUUUGAUUAUAGUGCUUGUCAUAACUUUUUGUUUCCAAUCGCUGCAGAGUAUGGCAUGGGCAGUCAAAUCUCAACUGAGGGCGAUGUCUAUAGUUACGGAAUUAUACUUUUAGAAAUGCUAACAGGGAAAAGACCUACGGAUGAAACAUUCGGUAAUGGCCUUACACUCCAGAAGUACGUAGAUGCAUCACUUUCAGAAAUUGAACGCGUUCUUCGCCCCAGUCUUAUGCCAAAAAUUGGAGAUCAACCUACUAUUACCCCCAAAAUAGAAGAAUACAGGGCAACUACAGUGAUGCAUAUCUGUGCUCUGCAACUCGUUAAACUUGGGUUGUUAUGCUCCGUCGAGUCACCAAAAGAUCGCCCAAGCAUGCAUGAAAUUUACAGCGAAGUAAUUGCUGUAAAAGAAGCAUUUUUCUCAAUGAACAGUUGAGAGAUACACUACACGCCUAGAACAGUUUUGAUAUACUGCACAUAGAUUUAUGUCGCAAAUAUUUCCGUUUAUUUGGAUUGUUUUCUUCAUUCUAAAGGCCAGGUACCAAAUUGCUGAAUCUUUUUAUGUAAAUUUCACUAUGCAUUGAUGUUAAAGGCCCGAGCUAUUCUGUCAAUUUGAACUUUUCUUCAGAGAUAAAAGGCCGGUAGCUCUGUUUUCCUAUUGCUUUCAUCAAUGCCAAAGCAACUUGGCCUCCCCGCACAAAUGUGUGGGGCGGACAAUAAUCAAUAUUUACAGCUGAAAUCUCUGCAUUGGUGUUGGAAGUUGCUUCUUUUCUAACCAGAAGUCUCUCAAUUUGCCUCACUGCUAAAUAGCCGAAACACUAGCUAACAUUCCUGUAUGAUGUGUCAAGUUUGGAGCACCCAGUAGGCCAGUACUGGUACUAGUAGUAUUGGUGGUGGCUGCAACGAAGCCCAAUCUCUAGGGACUGCGACUACAAGUCCGAUUAAUCCUGGUUAAAUCAAGUUUGAAGCAAAAACUGUACAAGAUCGAUACGGUAAUUUUGGUAUUUGACACGGAAAUAACAGGACUAGAAAAGAAAUAGCAAACCCUAGGUGCUCACUUUGGCCUCAAUCGGGAAUGGGGCUGCCCUGCACGUCGUGACGAUGGCCGUCGGCCGCGCAAGGCGGAAGGUGGCCGCUGGACGUCGACCUUCGCCGGCGUGGUCUUGGCGCUCCGCGGCAGCUUCCUGCUCUUACUUGUUGUCCCGCGGCCUGUUCCCUGACUCGACUUCCUCCUCUAGUACUAGUACUUGAGAGGCGCAUAGUUAGAAAGAACAAGACCAAUCCCGAUUAGACUAGCAUGUUGUCAUUUUUUAUAAACGAAAACUCUAUGAAAAUCAAAUGUUAUAGGCGAGAAUCGAACAUUCCUGGGCUGGCUGCAAACUCCCGCGCCAAAUCAACUGAGCUACGUCACUCUCUGAGAGGCGCAUAGUUGCAGACGAGACGACAAACAAGAAAGCUUAUUUUGGAUUUUGGACUUGCUUUUCCUUUCUUAUUUUCUAUUUUUUUGAACACAAAAGAAUAUUCACGUCUGUUCCGUGGUAAACCGAAACGAAGACAAAAUAUUAAUGACUAGAUUCAUUUUCUUCGAACAAAAAUGGGAGUAAUUUGAUAACACCCGAACGUCAAGUAUGAACACAUGGCAAAUCAAACGUUUACAAUGACAAAUGUAGUUGGUGCAAGAAUUGUAAAAUUAGUUAGCAAACAUGACAAUUUUGUGUAAAGAAUUACCAUGUGCGUUAAUUAAAGUCAUCAUCCUCAAGUCAACUAAGGUUUAUCCAUAAGGUUAGGUACUUACCAUUUUCGAAAAGAAAACAGAAUAAUUUCUUGCGGAGGAACAGGAACAAGAACGGCUUUAUUUUUAAAGGAGUAGUACUCACGAAAGAUAACUUGCUCAGGGCAUGUAACUGUAGAUGUUAUUUUUGUAUCAACAAUGAAUCUAUCAAAUAUCUCUUUCUCGAAGGUUCAUUGGCUAGACUUUUAUGACGUACUAUUCAUAUAGCUUUCAAUAUAACCCUUCAUUGAUUAUGAACACGUUAUUUGGGACGUGGCUUAAUGGAGUGGAAGUUAACAAAGCUAAACAUAUUUGGAUAGGAGUAUGUGCAAUGCUAUGGGCUAUAUAGAAGAGUAGGAAUGAUAUGAUUUUUAAUAGGAAAAACUUUACUAAUUUGUUGCAAGUCAUAGAUAGAGCAAUUACUUUAAUUCGUAUGUGGUCGUUACUCAUGUCUGCGGAGUCUAUUGAGCGUUUGGUUGCUGGGUGCAACAGGUGAGAAACGGCAGCGCAGGCUAUCUUCAACCGACAUGGAUGACGACAAACUAAGGGCUAGGUGUAUACUCAUCGUAGUAGUCUGUGUUGAUAUGGCCAAAUGUGGCAUGUAAUUUCCGUUUAUUUCGAGCCUUCGUGCUCUAGCUGAAUCUUGCACUUUGUUUGAACUCACGUGCUUAAAUAAAAUGGCUGCAUGGCCGGCGGCUAUUUUCCUUUUCAAAAAAUAAAAUAAAUUUGGUUGCCUACGUGAGUUGUUGUGUGAGGCCUAAUCCAGCGCGCAACAGUGAACAGUUUGUGGCCGGCACUGACGCUAAUAUCAGCCUCCGUGUACCCGUCCAUGAGAAGGCCGGUGAAGCUCCUGCGAAAGGAGUCAGCUCGCCCCAUUGACUCGCUGCAUAUGCGUUGCGAUUCUGGCGUCCUACCUCAGCCUCAGCCUCAGCCUCCGUGUUUUCUCCUUUCGAGGAAUCGAUGCCCGCUGGUCACCACGAGUGGACGUCUCCUGAUCAAAGUCAACCCACAAGUUAAGCUAAGCUAAUCCAAGCUAGGUAGUAGCACUAAAAGGAAAAGGUUGCCCCAUGCUUGCACGCUAAUGGCCUGCAGCACAGCACAACACGAUUUUUGAGAUGAAAACUGUAGGGGAGCAGCACGUACAAUCCGUGUACUGAUAGGCUCUGGCUGUAGUAACACGAGCAUGGCAGAGCGUGCCAGCCAUGUUAGAGCAUCUCUAACGAUCCCGCAAAAGUAGUCAAACUCUUAAACUUUUAGGUUUUAUAAUUUUUAAUCUAAAAAAGUGUUCAGAACAAAAACGUAAAAUGGUUCAAUCCGUAAAAUUUUUCAUGGGCAUGAAAAAGUAAUAUACGAAAUCCUUAUAUUUGAAGAUUGGAAGGCCGAACCGAGGGGACCCCGUAUACCGGUCAAACCUCGUCGGAGCAAACACGACGCCGUGGAGUUUAUCGGAAUCCGUCCUAAACUCGUCAGAAUUCAUCACCGGACACCGAAAAAGGCUGCUAGACGCUGCAAUCGAUCGCGGCCAGUUCGAAUUGGACGAGCUCGACCUUCUUUCAUCUCAUCUACAAAUUACUAAUUUAGUGUGUACUUGUCUAUCCUUCUGUGAGGGGAUGACGGAAUAUAUAUGGAGUUUGGGUGUAACUGACCGAAGAUGAAUGCAAGGGCUUUCUUCAACCUGAUAGAAUAGCGAUCCAACAGCAGAAUUGGUGAUUGAGUUGUUUCUCUUCUUACUGCCUAAUUAUUUUUGAGCAUCCUUUAAGUAACACUUAAAUUUUCAAGUGAUAAAGCGUUUUUAUUGAAAAAUAAUUUUGAACGUGUUGCUCCAACUUGUAUUCUUUAUACUUUAUACGGCUUUCUUGAUGUUGCUUACUUAAACAUAAUAAAAAUGCCAGGUAACCAUUUUUGCAAAUGACAGUCAAGAUACGGAUUGUUCCUCUCGAUGCGGAUUGUUCCUCUUCCUCCUUGCAACAACGUGAAUUCCUCCUGCCAUAGCCCAAUCACCCGGCCGGUCUCAACAUCAGAACGCUGCAGCGUACUCUUUCCCCUGAAAUCUACCGAUCCAAAUUCGUUUUAUCAGCAACUAAUGAUAAACAGAAUAUGCAUUUUUAAAGGUAAACGUUCAAAGUUUCGGAAUUGUUGUUUGUAUGCCAAUCCAUCGGCUAGGGGCACGGAGACCGAUAAAAAGAUGAGAUCGAGGUCUUCCCAAGCAAAGACUACUAGUAGCAUCUUUGCCCCCAACUGCAGCAAACUCGAUCGCAGCGCACGCGUUCCUCGAUCGCGUACACAUGCGACGACAUGCCGCUCGGUGCUACUCGCCUACAAUUUCAUGCGUGUGUGUCAUGUCGCCAGAUCCACGAAUGCCGGUUAAUUAAGCUCCAAGCCAGGCCGCGCUUUUGCAUGCAUGCCCCGCCCCUUUCCUUCGUCCAUUCGCAUUAUGUAUGUACUUGGAGAAAAGUUUAGCAAGUCAGAUGACUGCGCUGGCACACCGUAUUGUACUUACUGCCAUGGUUUAGCGAGGGCACACGCUACUGUACUUGUUUGACAUUUUGACGAAUUAUUAAAAAUGUUGGAUUGAUAUAUUAUUACUAGACUCAAUUAAUUUAGAAUGCCGCUAGAGGAAGUACUCUAUAGGUGCUAGCUAAUGUGCUUUGUCACAAUGGAGUACAUUUUUUUGCGGGGUUUGUCACAGUGCUAAUUACCACUACAUUUGUCCUGGUUUACUAUUUCCCUCGUAUUUUGAAUUAUAUUUUUACCAUGACUUUAAUUAGUAAAAUAGGUAAUCAAAAUAAUAUCACUGAAAACUACCUUCCAAAUACGAAUCCAACAAUAUAAUUUUUGGAGCAUGCAUUAAUAUUUUGCUAGUCAAAUAUAUCACUUAAUUUUUGGAGCAUGCAUAAAUAUUUUCCUAGUCAAAUAUAUCACUUAAUUUUUGGAGCAUGCAUAAAUAUUUUCCUAGUCAAAUAUUUUGCCUCCAUGGCUCCAUCACUUAAGCCAUCCAUUGUUCACUUUCAUGUUUGUGUACACUGGUGGUAUCCACAGUGAGGAGCAUCGACAAUAGCUUGAGAUGGUGUUUGGAUACGUUUGAGUCCCAUGACUAAAAGUAAUGAGACUAAAACUUGCUAGCCUCACCCAUGCUUGGAUCCAAGUACUAAAGAGACUAAAAUCAAGUUAAUGAGCAUUUAUUAUCCUCCAAACCCUCCAAUCCAGAACUUGCAUGAGGAGUUAAAUGAGGAGAGAGAGGACUAAUGCACAUUUUAGUAGGGGUACCCCUGACUAAAAGAUUUUAGCCUCAAGACUAGUUUUAGCCUCUCUUUAGUCAGGGGUGCUUGGAACUUUAGCUUCUCAAAGAGACUAGUUUUAGUCAGACUAGUUUUAGUCUCUUGGAUCCAAGCACCCUCUGAGAUGAUUUGUACAUCACCGGGCUCACGGUCCAUGUCUCUAGUAGAGGGGGAGUGAUAGGGGCAAGGGUAGAGAAACAAACUUAUUGACUACGGUAACAUGGCGGCGGCGUCCACUCCAUCAAGGCCGUUGGCUAGUUUUUGCCACCAGGAGACCCAUUGCCGCCUCUACUCGUGCCACUGUCUUUGCCUAUUCUAGGGGGCAUUGAUCUCUUCGAUGCCCCUUGAUAUGUCGGGUAGAACAAUGUGUUGAAGGCUAAUCGAGAGGGAUUUAUGCGCACUGAGCUUAGGAGGAAGUAGACCUAGACAAGGAUGGCCCGGCCCGACAGGCCGGACCCGAAGCCCGAUGUCCGGGCCGGACUCGACACCUUCCAGCCCGAAGCCUGGUGAAAAAUGAUUUUAAGGAUUUUAUAUAAAUACAUGGAUAGUAUAAUAUAGUAUAACUAAUCCUCAAAAAUGUUACAUUGCUAUUUUAAAACACAGAAACCAUGCGUUUUUGGCGUUGUAGGCCAGNNNNNNNNNNNNNNNNNNNNNNNNNNNNNNNNNNNNNNNNNNNNNNNNNNNNNNNNNNNNNNNNNNNNNNNNNNNNNNNNNNNNNNNNNNNNNNNNNNNNCUAGCGACGGGCGCGCGCGGGAGACGGUGGCUGCGGCGAGGAACGGCGGCGAGCAAGGCGGCGCGGGGUGCACACGGGAGAACGAGGUCGGAGGGGAUCGGGCAUGGGAAACAGGAUGACGGCGCGGGGGAAAGACGAGGAAGGACCGGGACGAGGGGCUGAGGAGGGUGUCGCUAGGGUUGGACAGGCAGCUGGGCCUUGGGCCGGCUGGGCCGCUCCUCUUCUCCCUCUUGCCUUGGUGUUUUUUCCUAUUUUUAAAGCAGGAAAACUCAAACAAAAAAGGGUUUCAACAACAAUAAAAGAAAUAUUUUUACUCCUUUAAAACAAACCCCAACUAUAAAAUAGAUUGGGCCUCUUUUUUAAAAGAAAUAAAAUGAAACCCUUUUUAAAGAAUAAAAUAAAACCCUUUUAACAAGAGAAUAAAAUAAACUCCUUUUAUCAAUAAAAUGAGACUCUAGUUUUGAAAUAAAACAAAAGAAAAAAUAAAGGAAACCCAAGGGGUUGCCUCCACAUUUAAUAAAAGGGUUUUUAAAAGAAGACGAACCUAUUUAAAAUAGGGGUUAAAACGGAAACUUUAGCAAAACCACAAAAAUGAAAUAUGAGGGAGAGAAGGUUUUAGGUCCGCGGUGCAACAGGAUUUUAGGUGGCUCUCACGCACCCACUCUCAUCACUCCAACAAAACAACGCCACUCACAAAGCACUAACACCCAACAACACGAAGCACAAGCAACACCGAUAAAACACAGUUGACAUGAUGUCAUUCAUGAUGCGAUGAUACAAACUAAAUGAAGAGGCCACAAAAUAAAAUAACCACACGACGAAAACGGAAAUAAAGGGGAAUCUUCUGGGCGUCGGCAUCGGGCUGUCACACCCUUGCAACAGAAACAAGAAAAUCAUUAUGGCUUGCAUUGCACUCCACAAUUUUAUUAGACAAAGUCAAUUCGCCGAUAAAGAUUUCGACUUGUGUGAUCAAGAUGAAAAUUAUGUACCAUUGUCUAUGCCAACGACUACAACAAAUGAUUCAACAAAUGAGAUGGACAGUGCUGCUAUAAAUCAAUUCAGAGCUUGGGUCGCUGAUGGGUUGUGGUCCUUGAAACAACAAUGAUAUGAACAAGUGUUCUUCGCUUAUGUAAUUUGUGUUAUCUCGGUUGUUAUGUACUCUCUCUUAUUUUGAUUUUAUGAACAAGUGUUAAUUCGUUUGUAUGAACAAGUGUUAUUUUGGUUGUCACUAUUGUGUAAUUCGUUUGUAUGAACAAGGGUUAUUUAAACAAGUGUUUUAUUAUUAGGGGUAAUAUGGACUUAUAAGUCCCUGUAAACAAACAGGUAGGGACUCGGGACUUAUAAAUCCCUGUAAACAAACAGGUAGGAAAUCGGGACUUAUAAGUCUGUGUAAACAAACAGGUACAGACUCGGGACUUAUAAGUUGGGACUUAAAAAAGUCCUAUGACUUACGAAACAAAUAGGGCCUUAGCCACACCAGCGCCACACUUACUCACAUUAAGAAAACAUACUCUCUCUGUCUCAAAAUAACUGUCUUAACUUUGUACUAACUCUAAUAUAAAUUUAUACUAAGUUUAAAACACUUAUUUUGAAACGGAGAGAGUAGCUUUUUAACGGGAAAUGACAACUCGCUGUUUAAGGACAUCAGUUCCAACGCAUAUUCUUUGGUACAUGUGUUUCAUUUGACCAAUUAGAAGCUUGUACAUACAAGGGAUGGUCCGUGAAUCGCAGCUCUUCCAUUUUGUUGAACCUGCGCGGUCGUAGUUGGACGGCUUGAAAUUGGAUUGGACACCAUUGCAAACGAACCGUACGUCUUUGGAUGUCUCGAGCACCCUGUUAAUCUCCAUUCAUGGAGUGAAUUGCAAGAAAUCACCACACUUGGGGCAUCCUUUGCGAAAAACAAUGGGGUUCUUAAUAUUUUGCAAAACGCACCGUUGUUUGGAUGAUUAAAACCCGUUUGAUCACUUUCUAACAAGUGGGACCUGGUUGUAAGGAGCUGACUCAGCAAACAAUUAACACAUACACCCCUAUAUCGGAAAAAGAAAAGCAAUCAACCUAUUCACACGUGCCGGCGGAGGCAAGCCGCACGACCCCACCGUCCGGCCUUCGGUGCCGCCGUCCCUCCCGACAAUCAGCAGGCGACUCCCCUACCUCUACUCCGCCCGAUGUCGGCGAGCAGCAGCAGCUCCACCGUGUCUGUCCUGUGUCGUCCGAACCACGAGCAGCAGCAGCUCCACUAGCUAUGGCACGAGUGUACACCGCGUCGCCCUACCCAACCUCCGGCGACGCAACCAUCGGGAGCAACAGCUCUACCGCGUGUGGAGGACGGGGCUGCUUCAUCGGCGUCUAGGUGAGACGUGUGGUGGUCCUCGGUGUGGAUGUGCAACCUCCUAGCGCCGCCCCACACAUGUCCCUCUUCGUCGUCGUUCCUGUUCGUCGAUGCACGACCUCAGCGGCGCCCCAACGGCGCACCUAAGCAUUAACAGGCGAGGUCGGGAUCAGGGUCUCCCUCCUCCCGCAGCCCCGACGAGCGCGGCGGGGCGACUCCCCUAAGGCGUAGGGGCGAGCAGGUGAAGAGAAACAACGGCAAGGCCGACAGAGCUUCGGCAGCACAACGGUAGGGCCGGAGCCAUGAGCUCGUGGCUAGGGCGAGCCACCGGCCAGCUGCGACGGCCAGGGAGGUGGGAGGCCGCACCAUCCCGUUAGCAAGACUAGGGGGAGGGAGAUCAUCUCGCCGGAGGCCACCUCAAGGUGGCCCGCCACCAUCUCGGAGGAGGCAGGCGACGCGGGUGGGAGGGGGCUAGUUGCUUUUUCAUUUUCUGAAUAUGGACGUCUUUGUGAAAUCCAGGGAGUAGUGUAUAUCAUUUUUUAUCAAAUCAUCUCCUUACAAUCUCACCCCACUUCUCAGAAAGUGAUCAACCAGGCUAAAUCACCUGGUUAGUGAAAUUUGCAAAAAAAAUGUUGUGAAUCUACUAUGUGUUUUACAAAAAACGAAGGACCACGUAGUUUUCCACAAACGAAGCCACAAAUGUGGUGGUUUCUCAUGCAAUUCACUCGCAUUGAUGUAUGUGUUCAACACUGAAAUGGUUGAUGCCAAACAAAAUGAUCAGAUUUUAUUAAACUGGAUAGGAUUGAAUCCUCGGCACAAGAACAAUUUCUUGUUUGUGCAUCCCACGGCUAGGAAGGCAGAUGACAGGGUCUAGAACUUAAUUACUCCCUUCCUUCCUAAAUAUAAACAUAAGUCUUUUUAAGGAUUCUAAUAUGGACUACAUAUGAAGUAAAAUGAAUGAAUCUAUAUAUUAAAAUAUGUCAAUAUAAAUUCGUAUGUAGUUUAUACUAAAAAUUUAAAGAAGACUUAUGUUUUUGUAUAUGAAAAAACUUUCGUGUUAAUAGAGAGAAAUUUGACCCGAACAAAUAUAAGUUUUAUUAUUUUUCUAUUUUACGAUUGUGAAAUCUCCCCUAAUAAUAAAGUGCGCAAUGCUUCUGUCGCCCGUCGUCGGUCAUUUUGCAGAAAAGCCCUCACAGUUUCAGUUAAUUAACCCGCAGUCCAACUUUAAGUCAGAACGAACCUAACCGUUUUUUGCAUUUUAUAGAAAACUCCCUGAUGUUUCAGGUAAUCAACCCGCCGUCCCUAUUUAAGUCAACCGAAACUUUUUUGUUUUAACAAAAAAAACCUGACUUUUCAGUUAAUCAAUCCAUAUUUUAUCUAAAACAAAAUUAUCCAUAUCUUUUAAACCGUAACUCCGAUUUUAACAUGUUAUAUAUGAAUUUUGAUUGAAAAAAUGUGUAGAAUCUAAAUAGGAUGUUAUUUUUAGCUGUUAAAUACUUCUUAAAUAUUAUUUUUGAUUCAAACUUAAUCUGUAGUGCACGGUCUUUUUUCUCUCUUUCCGACGACCAUACGAAUUUGCAAUAAAUAUUCAUUAAAUUAAAACCAAAUUGAGAGGAAAGAAAACAUCGUUAAUCACACAUGCACACCUUUGGAAAAUCUCGUGGGAAGAAACAACAUAUUUCUCAUCUUAUUCCGAGUGAUUGUACAUUCAAACGCGUUUUCGUUGUGUGAGCACUGAGGUCAUUGUCGACAACACAAAUGUUAUGCCAUGUGAAAAUAUAUUACGUUUAAAGCGUGUGUUAUUUUCUCUUCCGUUGCAACGCACGAGUUUUUUAUAUUAUAUAACUAUAAAGAUUUGGGAUUUUUGUUGGGAAGUUCCGUGACAAUAUUGUACGUACUAAUUUUCUCUUUGGGCAAGUGGCUCCAUAUCUCUUAAAAACCACGCGGAGAACGAGCAGCGGAUCUUCAGCAGCAAGAUUGUACUUCCACACGUUGGACUUUUCUUUCUCUUGGACUGUUCAUACAGAUACGGAUACGGAUUCUCACUAACUCAUUGGUCUUGGACAGUUCGUACGGAGGAAAAAGUCCAAUUUCAACCUUUAAUAUGUGAACCAUUUUAUAAAAUCUCUCAAAAAUAGAAAACGUGAUUUUUUUCAAAAUCGGAACAUUUUUCAAAUUCGAAAAUAUUUUUGGAUGCGCGAACAUUUUUCUUGUAGUUGUGGAGUGAUGCAUGCAUUUGUUCUUAUAGUUGUGAGUAUAUUAAGACUGUAGCUUAAGCUCUACCUGGUCAGCAUUUUUUAAAUUUGUUAAUAUUUUUCAAAAAUGACGAACCUUUUUUCAAAUAUUUCUUACAGUGUGUUGGGACAAAUCCGGUCAGGCGAUGAACGUCGAAUAGCCUACAGGUACGCAUAAUACACACCAUGACAACCCACACAUACACGUACAUCCACACGUAAUAUACAAUAAAUAUUUCGACUACAUACAAUGAACUCUAUAUAAUAUAAGUGAAAAUAAACAGGAACAAAAAAGAAAAAAGAAAUCAAAAAUAAAAAGUAUAAAAUAUAAAUUGAAACAGAAAUAAAUUCGUGAACUUUUUUCUCACUUUUUUAAUUCCGUAAAUAUUGUGAUGUUCCAUAGCGAGAUGGGCCUGACUGGUCUGGGCCAGUCUUUUUCGCGCGUGCGCAGCUCAAUCCCGGUCAAGUCAGCAAUCCUAGUUUGUCAAAAGAAUCCAGGGUUCUUUUAGACAAGGAUUACAUAGUUUAGGGUGCAAUCGACAGGGAUUUCGAGUUGAAGGUUCAUUUCGUCGAACCUCUACAAAUUCAGGGUUUAAAAUGAACUUUUUCCUUCAUACGGAUACGGAUUCUCACUAACCACAGGCUACAUCGGUACAGCUCCUGGACCGGCUGCUUGUUAAGCUGGGGAUAAUGGGGCGAUCAGAUUGGUGAGAGCAUCUUCAUAUUAUGUUCCCAAAUCUUCCCUCGUUGUCUGCAUGGGGGAAAUAUUAAUACAAGAAACAUUCAAGAAAAAAAUCAACGGAGAAAUAAUAGCUCCUCACUGCGCAGUGCGUACAAAAAAACCAUCCUUGUGCUAAUAAUAUGCCUAUAUAUAGACCGAACUAGCAACGUGCAAGCUCAAAACUAACAGCAAGCAACCAUGGCUUUUUAUGACCAACAAUUCAAGAUUCUCGAGGUACCUCCAAUCGUGCAAGAGCUUGUGGGCGCCGGCGUGAAGGAGCCACCGAGCCAGUACGUGCUUCCCGAGCAAUACCGUCCCGCUGCGGCGGCGGUCUCCGAGAUGCCCGAGCCCAUCCCCAUCAUCGACCUCAGCCGGCUCUCUGCCGGCAGCGCCGAGGAGUUCGACAAGCUGCGGUCCGCGUUGGAGAACUGGAACCUCUUCCUGGUAAUUAAACUUCUUUUCCCAUUUUCAUUUCGGUUGUGUGAUGAAGUGGUCAUCUCGAUCUCAUCUCCGGCCGAUCUUUCUCCAGGCUGUUGGACAUGGAAUGGAGCCUAGCUUUCUUGCCGAGGCGAUGAAGGCCACCAGAGAGUUUUUCAACCUCCCAAUAGAAGAGAAACAAAAGUACUCGAACAUUGUCGACGGCGAGAAGAUGAGCAUGGAUGGAUACGGUAAUGACAUGGUCGUAAAAGAGAAUCAGGUCCUUGACUGGAACGACCGGCUUAAUCUCCUCGUGGAACCUGAAUCCCUAAGAACCUACAGACUCUGGCCAACGCAACCCCUUCUUUCAGGUACUUAUUUACCGUCUAGCUGUAGGUUUUUACAGUCUAUAUACGGUACGCAUGCUGCUGCAGGCUCUGCUAUCAUGCAUGCCCUAUUUUUAAGCUGAUACGUCAGUAGUCUGGCAGUUGAUGAUUACUACUCCACAAUUGUGCAGAGACGUCCUGUCUGAAUACACGGUCAGGUGCAAAGCGGCGACCAACAUUGUCCUUCGAAACAUGGCCAAGAUGCUCAAUUUACAAGAGGAACACCUCGUAAACAUGAUCGGCGACAACUCCAUCACCCUAGCUAUAUUCAACUACUACCCUCAGUGUCCAAGGCCAGACCACGUCUUGGGCCUCAAGGCCCACACCGACGGCUCAAUAAUCACCAUCAACUUCGCCGAUGCCGAGGGGCUCCAGCUUGAGAACAACGGCGUCUGGUACAACGUGCCCAUUGUUCCAAAUGCAUUGGUUAUGAACAUAGGAGAUAUAAUGGAGGUACUUGUGUCUACAGCCAGCUACAUGUAUAAUAGUUUGACCUUGUUUUGUGGAUUGUCAAGCUGAGAUAUAAUACAUCUCUCUAUUUCAUCCUUAUGCAUGCAGAUUUUGAGCAAUGGGGUUUUCAAGAGCCUGGUGCAUAGGGUUGUCACCAACGCGGAGAAAGAGCGCUUGUCGGUGGUGCUGGUUUAUACGUUGGAGCUAGAGACACAACUUGAGCCGGUGUCAGAGCUAGUGGAUGACAAGAGACCUGCACGAUACAUGAAGAUCAAGCUCAACGACUACAUGGAAAAAUUCCUUGACACUUAUGCCACUGGGACACUAGCCAUCGACGGCGUGAAGAUCCGAAUAUGAUUCCGUUGUAUGCAAAAGCUCGCUGAGUAAGAUCUAUGAUGAAGUAUCUUCCGUUGACCAGUUUUAACGAGUUUAUAUUUUCACAUAUUUUCAAGAUUUUGUGUGUGUACUCCUCAUGUAAAAUGUUGGGCAGCUUGUGUGGCCGCAUUAAACCCUAAUAUAAAACGUAUCCGCUGUGGGCAACGUACGGAUGCAAAGGAUGGAAUAAAACUUAUCGAUUGUGUGCAACAUGCGGAUGCAAGGAUAGUUUUUCCUGUUAGUAUGUAUCAUUGAUAAGUACCAUUGUGCCUCCGUUUCAAGAAAUUAAGAGACCAUUGUGCCAUGAAAAAUGUGGGUUAACAGUCAGAAUUUCAUGUGUAUCUUUCCUGAAAAAUAGACACCCACUACUAUAGAGUGUGACAUAAAUAGACACCCACUACUAUAGAGUGUGACAUGUCAAUAGCUUCUCGUCGGUGAUUACGAUGUUAGCAUUAACUAGUCACACUACUAGGAAAAACCUUAUAGGAAGGACAUGAGUAGUAGCGCUAGAAAAAGAAAACGCUGCUGCUAAUUAGCAGUAGCGCUGAGCCAGCUGCAUACACCUUAGCAGUAGCGCUGCUAAUUAAAAAGGCGCUACUACUAUGUGGAACCAGACGAUGCCACUGACGGUAGCUGUAGUAGCAGCGUUGCCCAAAAUCCAGCGCUACUACUAAGUAUUUAGCGGUAGCGCUUUGUUUUGCAGCAUCGCUGCUGCUAGUUGGCUCCACUUAGUCGUAGCGCUCGAUGGUGUGCAGUGCUACUACUAAUAGAAUAGCAGCAGCGCUCUCUGUUAUCCAGCGCUACUGCUAGUUGCGGCUGCCCACCYCCUCCCCCCCCCCUCCCCUCCCCACNNNNNNNNNNNNNNNNNNNNNNNNNNNNNNNNNNNNNNNNNNNNNNNNNNNNNNNNNNNNNNNNNNNNNNNNNNNNNNNNNNNNNNNNNNNNNNNNNNNNAGGCCUCCGGUCCCGGCCCCGCCCUCGCCGGCCACCACCCCGCCUGCCUGUCCCCAGCCACUUCACCGUCGUAGGCCCUGGCAUCUUCCCUGCUUCCCCACCGGUCUCUGCUCCCAGUCGCCCCCGCCGGUCCUGGCCCCAUUGCCCCCGCCGUCCACGGCCUCGUCAUCCCCUGCUGCAGCUCCAGUGAGCACGUGCAUAGUGGAUGGUGGCAAGGCAGCUAGGCAUGCUGGAUCUCGGGCUGCUACACCAACCCUCCUCUCUUGUAAUUUUCUACGAAGCACCGAUACUUCAGAAAUUUGUGUAUCGCCGUUCAGUACUUCACCGAUAUUCCGAUACUUCAGAUACGCCUUCGAUACGGGUAUCCCCGAAGUAUCGUCAUUUCCAAUUUAAAAGAAAUGGCGAUACGCGUAUCCUCAAAGUAUCGCCAUUGUGUAUUGCCCAUGCCUUGAUGUAUCGUUGAUCUGUUCAUAUACAUAGUGCACGUGGAUUGUACUAAUGUAGUAGUUGGAUAAAAGUGCUUGUUAAGAAUGUUACUUGUGCAAUUCAUUAUUUGACCCACUCGUGCAAUCCAAAGUUGCUCUUUAUAUAUGUUUGUCAUUUGACAAUCUCAAGUUUUUAAUUUUAAAAGAUUUAUUAAUUUUAUAUUAUCGUGUUAAUAGAUAUUACAGUCUAAAUUGUAUUGUGACAGUCUAUGAUCAAUUGGUCGUAUUAUUCAUUGAUGAUAGUGAGAUUUUAAAAUGAGAAACAAUAAGGUAUGAAAGUAAUUAGGCAAUCAGUGGAUCGGUAUUUUGUUAUCAUCUCAUACAUUUAUUUAUGUUAGUUUUUAUUGCAUGUUAUUUUAUCAUUAUUUAUAUAUGCCUGCCGUAUCGCCGAAUUACUGUUUUUAGAAAUUGUCAUAUCCCGUAUCGCCGUAUCAGUGUCGCCGUAUUGGUGCUUAGUAGGUAAUUUUUAGAUCAACGUGUCCUGUAGUUUGUUCAUGUGUAAUAAGUUAGUUUUGCCUUGUAUCAGAAAGUGAUGAUGUAAUCGGUGUAAAUAGAGUAAUUUUGUAUUGUGAAAUUUAUUCAUUUGUUGUUGAUUCUUGAACGAAGUGUUGAUCGAUACUAUGUUCUUCUUCGUCGUCAGUUCGUGGCCGCCUCUACAAUUGGUUAUUGGUUCAUAAUGUUCUAAUAAAAAAUACUUUGAUGUCUUAUUCUCUGAGGCUGACUGCAAAGACAAUAUUGAGGCUGAUGACAAAGAGUUGACAUCGUCCGUUAGCGUGCGGUUCUGUUAGACUGCCUUUUUUGUCGUCUACUUUGUAACAAAUGAUGGCAAACCAUUUUCAGCAAAAAAAAUUCGUCUACCCGAUCGAAUACUGACGGCAAAAUACCUCUUUGCGGGUGAUAAGACCUCGAUGACGCCUAGAGGGGGGUGAAUAGGCUAUUUAAAAACUUCUUCGGAUUUGGCUUGAAACUAAUGCGGAAAUAAACUAAGAGGGUACUUGUCAAGCACAAAUCCUAAAUGCACUAGGCACUACAACGUGUAUCAACAACACGAUCUACCAAGAUGGACACAAUACAGUUACUAACAAGCACAAGUAAGUUACACAAACUUACUUGAGCUAUAUCACCCGACAAGUAGGUGAAUAACACAAGAUACUAGAUCACACUAUAUCACACGAUAUAUCAAGGGCUGCAAGUAUGAACGUGUGGAUAUAGAGGGUAUGCUUGAAUGAUUAAUCUUGUACAAGAAAUAGCCCAUACAAUAUAAUGAGCACAAACAAUAUGCAAUGUAUGUAUGCUCAUGUAACACAAGUAAACCACAAGUAAGGAGUUAGGGUUAAGGAUAACCAAGGUCACUGAGACGAAGAUGUAUCCCGAUGUUCACUUCCUUGAAGGGAAGCUAGUCACCGUUAGAGAGGUGGAUGUUACCACGAAGGCACACCAAUGCCACGAAGGCUCACCCUAUUCUCCCUUUGAGAUAACACCACGAAGGCGUUUCUCAACCACUAGUCGUAAGCCUUUGAGGUGGCUUCCAAACCCUCACAAACUUUUUCGGGGAGUAAUCACACGGAUUGAUUCCUCUCCGAAGGACUCCUACCGCCUAGGAGUCUCCAACCUCCAAGAGUAAUAAGAUCACGGGGAAUGCUCAAAACUUGCUCAAAUCUCAAAUAGCUUGGGUUGAGAGGAGGAGAGGGAGACGAUCUAUCUUUUGAUUGGAACAACUCUCAAAGGGGCUCACAAAUGCUCUUGGGAUCUAAGAUUUGGUGUGAGAAAAUGUGUGUGAGGUAGAAGUGUGUUCUUAUGAGGAUAAGGUUGUGUUGGGAUACCCUCUCACGAAGUGGGAGGGGGUAUUUAUAGUGGGGAGAGAAAACAACCGUUGGGGACACUUUAAGUCACAUAGGGUCCGGACGUCCGAUAGUUUCCGGAAGUCUGGGCGACCGCGAGGGGUCGGACGUCCGACAGGGGUCGGUCAUCCGAGGCCUGUAGAUAUCACUGAAAAUACUGUGAAUUGAACAGCGACCGGACGUCCGGAGAAGGCCGGAAAUCCGAGUUAUUCGACUCAACUUCUUCUGGUGCAAGGUUCCGGAUUUUCGAGGCUGGUCGGACGUCCGGCUCUCGGAUGUCCGGAGGGAGCCGGAAAUCCGAGUUAUAUGACUCAAAUACUUCUGUUGGAGGGCUCCGGAUUUCCGAAGCUGGUCGGUCGUCCGACCCUUGACCGGCCCUCGGACGUCCGGAGGGAGCCGGAAGUCCGAGUUAUAUGGCUCAAGUUUCUCUCGUGCAUAGUUCCGGAAUUCCGAAGCUGGUCGGAUAUCCGGGACUCGGACGUCCGGAGGGAGCCGGAAGUCUGAGUUAUAUGGCUCUGAUUUCUUUGGUAUAGGAUUCCGGAUUUCUGAAGCAAUCGGUCGUCCGGCCCUCGGACGUCUGGAGGAAGCCGGAUGUCCGAGGCACUGGUUCUGUUUUCAGAUAACAGCAGAGCAGUGGAGAUGUGGUCUGAGCAAAAUAGUGGAGAUGUAGUUUGAGCAAGUUCAUCGCAAAACCUGUGAUCCCCUCUUAAUAGUGCGGGAUCCCUAAAGACUCAAGAAUCAUAAAAGGGGUACUGAUGACCCAUGCUUGAGUGUAUACUUUUAUUCACUGAUCAUCACUCCGCACAACUAACGUCACAGGAACUGAUACCUUUGGGUUAGCCCUUUCACUUGAGCUUGAUGUUGUUGUUCCUUCUUGGCUCAAGUUGAAAGCAAGACAUGAUAAAUUCUUCAAGUAGCUCUCCCAUACACGAUGUGGAAAGCCUAGCUUAUGUAUUCAUCUUCAUUUGUCCACCAUGUGAACAUCCACAAGAAUCAAGCAUGUAGUGCUCAGGAAUGCUUAUCUUGAUCUUGUCCUUGUUAGCACAUGAGCUUGUCCUUAUCAACACAUGAUCAUNNNNNNNNNNNNNNNNNNNNNNNNNNNNNNNNNNNNNNNNNNNNNNNNNNNNNNNNNNNNNNNNNNNNNNNNNNNNNNNNNNNNNNNNNNNNNNNNNNNNAUGGGAAACAAAAAUUUUCCUACGCGCACGAAGACCUAUCAUGGUGAUGUCCAUCUACGAGAGGGGAUGUGUGAUCUACGUACCCUUGUAGACCGUACAGCAGAAGCGUGAGUGAACAUGGUUGAUGUAGUGGAAAGUCCUCACGUCCCUCGAUCCGCCCCGCGAACCGUCCCGCGAUCAGUCCCACGAUCUAGUGCCGAACGGACAACACCUCCGCGUUCAGCACACGUACAGCUCGACGAUGAUCUCGGCCUUCUUGAUCUAGCAAGAGAGAGGGAAAGGUAGAAGAGUUCUCCGGCAGCGUGACGGCGCUCCGGAGGUUGGUGAUGAUCUUGUCUCAGCAGGGCUCCGCCCGAGCUCCGCAGAAACGCGAUCUAGAGGUAAAACCGUGGAGAUAUGUGGUCGGGCUGCCGUGGCAAAGUUGUCUCAAAUCAGCCCUAAAACCCCACUAUAUAUAGGAGGGAGGGAGGGGAGGAGGCAGCCUCAAAACCUAAAGGUUUGGCCGAAAUUGGAGGUGGAGGAGUCCUACUCCAAUCCUACUUGGAGUAGGAUUCCACCUUCCCACUUGGAAACUCUUUCCACCUUGUGUUUUUCCUUCUCAAACCUUAUGGGCCUUAGUGGGAACUUAUUCCAGCCCACUAGGGGCUGGUUUAUCUCUUCCCAUAGCCCAUGAGACCCCUUGGGGCGUGACACCCCUCCUGAUGGUCCCCGGCACCCCUCCGGCACUCCCAGUAUACUACCGAUGAGCCCGAAACUUUUCCGGUAAUGCACGAAAACCUUCCGGUAACCAAAUGAGGUCAUCCUAUAUAUCAAUCUUCGUUUCCGGACCAUUCCGGAAACCCUCGUGACCUCCGUGAUCUCAUCCGGGACUCCGAACAACAUUUGGUAACCAACCAUACAACUCAAAUACGCAUAAAAAACGUCGAACCUUAAGUGUGCAGACCCUGCGGGUUCGAGAACUAUGUAGACAUGACCCGAGAGACUCCUCGGUCAAUAUCCAAUAGCAGGACCUGGAUGCCCAUAUUGGAUCCUACAUAUUCUACGAAGAUCUUAUCGUUUGAACCUCAGUACCAAGGAUUCAUAUAAUCCCGUAUGUCAUUCCCUUUGUCCUUCGAUAUGUUACUUGCCCGAGAUUCGAUCGUCAGUAUCCGCAUACCUAUUUCAAUCUCGUUUACCGGCAAGUCUCUUUACUCGUUCCGUAAUACAAGAUCCCGUAACUUACACUAAGUCACAUUGCUUGCAAGGCUUGUGUGUGAUGUUGUAUUACCGAGUGGGCCCCGAGAUACCUCUCCGUCACACGGAGUGACAAAUCCCAGUCUCGAUCCAUACUAACUCAACGAACACCUUCGGAGAUACCUGUAGAGCAUCUUUAUAGUCACCCAGUUACGUUGCGACAUUUGAUACACACAAAGCAUUCCUCCGGUGUCCGUGAGUUAUAUGAUCUCAUGGUCAUAGGAACAAAUACUUGACACGCAGAAAACAGUAGCAACAAAAUGACACGAUCAACAUGCUACGUCUAUUAGUUUGGGUCUAGUCCAUCACAUGAUUCUCCUAAUGAUGUGAUCCCGUUAUCAAGUGACAACACUUGCCUAUGGCCAGGAAACCUUGACCAUCUUUGAUCAACGAGCUAGUCAACUAGAGGCUUACUAGGGACAGUGUUUUGUCUAUGUAUCCACACAAGUAUUGUGUUUCCUAUCAAUACAAUUAUAGCAUGGAUAAUAAACGAUUAUCAUGAACUAAGAAAUAUAAUAGUAACUAAUUUAUUAUUGCCUCUAGGGCAUAUUUCCAACAGCCAGGCCCGUCGACUGUCGAGUACAACGUCCAGCGCCUCCCGGAAGAUCAGGUGGGAGCUGCCUAGGGGGCCAUGGUGCAGGCGGAGCUGAUGGCGGGAGAGGCCAAGAAAGCGUACGACUCCAUCGCGUCCGUGUACAAGCGAAGCUUGGAACUACGGGACGAUAUCCCAGUAAGUGGGCUAGUAAGUAUUUACCUUCCUCUUGUAACCCAGUGGGUGUUUGAGCAAUGCACUCGGAUAUUGUAUGAUUAUUUUGCAGUGGGUUCACUCUUAGUGAACCCACUGGGUGUACUCCCCGAGACCGCUGUCGACUGCUUGUGUCGGCAGGGGUCUGAAGAACUUAGAAAUUUUAUUGUUGUCCUUGUUGAAUUUGUCUGAUCGUCUCUUGGCGCUGACUUGUAGAAAACUUGCGAGAUGGGAGCAGCGUACGAGACUCUGAGGGCUGAAAAGGUUCAGUUUGCUGGGGAACUGGAUGCAGCAAUGGUUGCCUUGGCUGGUAUGAAGGAUGUUCUGGCUGAACGAGAAAAGUCCUUGGAGGAGGCCCGUGAGGCAAACAAGGCAUUGGCGGCUGAAGUGGAAAAAUGGGGAAACAAAGGACCGAGCUGAUGGGACAGAUGAAAGUGUUGAACAGGCGGUGCAUAGCACAGGAAAAUUACGUUAGUGACUGGGCCCGGAAGAUGAUAGCGCUUCUCGGUGGUAAGUUCUGUUUUUCCGAGUGCUUGUGGACUGUGCAUUUCAUUCUGUGCUUACUGUUUGCUCGCCCUGUCUUUGCAGAUUUUUGAAUGGACGUUGAGGCUGAGGCAGCUGACGUUGAGCGGUCGAUUCUUCUGAACGUUCCACUCGGCGAGGACGCCAAUCAAGAUAUGCUCCGAGCGCACAUUCGCGUGGGCAAGGUGGGGCCUUUCAUCGGUCGACUGAGAGAGGUCGUCAGCUGAAUCGACAAGGAGCUUUGGCCAGAAGACGAGUCUCGGCAGGAGAUGGAAGGCUUGAUGACUCGGCUAGAGGAGGUCCCGAACCGAGUGCAGGCGUGAAAGAAGUCUGCGGCUCGCUGUGGUGCGGACAUCGCUCUGUCGCUGGUGCGAGUGCACUGCAAGGAGGCUCGCGAAGAGAAGCUGAAGGCGUUGCAGGUCGCCAACACGAAAAGCUUCGAUUCGAAGACUUCAUGGAGACCUUCCUUGAGAGCGCCACUCGCAUCGUCGACGGGAUCAACCUUGACACAUUCAUGGAGCCUGCCAGUCCUAGUGCCAGUCCUGACGACGUUUAAGAAAACUUUUACCUCGGUAUGCCGAGUGUUGGUUGUAAGAAACUUUGGCCACUGCUGUUGGCCGUCACAUUCGUGGUUUGGUGUGGAUAAGCUUGAUCUACACCGAGCCAACUAUCCUUAGGCGAACUUUGAAUUUGAAUCGAAUCUUUGUCUCUUCUUUUGCCAAAGAGUUGUUGAUACGAUUUUGGCUCGUGGUUUUGUUUGGCGUUUCUUGGUGAAACCAAUGGCAAACAUGUGGAGCAUGUAAUUGUCAGUUGUCUUGACAUCUGCAUGAGCCUCACUGAGGGUCUGCUGAGUCUCCGAGUGGAUCUGUAAGAUACACUCGAAGGCAAUUGAGUGCUUAGGCGAUUCGUGAUCGCGGCUAAGUCUUCGUGUGCGACUGUAAGGUCGUACUCGGAGCGAGUUGUUACUCAUGUAAUUGUCAGUGGUCUUGACAUCUACAUGAGCCUCAAUGAGGUUCUGCUACUCAUGUAAUUGGCAGUGGUCUUGACAUCUACAUGAGCCUGAAUGAGGGUCUGCUAAGCCUCCGAGAGGAUCUGUGAGAUACACUCGAAGGAAGCUUUCUAUUUAAGCGAUUCUUGAUCGCAGACAAGUCUUCGAGUGCGACGUUAAGUGCACACUCGGAGAAGGUGUGAAGUUAGGCGAUUCGUGAUCGCAGCUAAGUUUCCGUGAGUGCGAUGGUUAGUGCACACUCGGAGAAAGCUAAUACUUAGGCGAUUCUGGAUCGCAGCUAAGUUCCCGAGUGCGGACGUUAAGUKCACACUCAAGAAGUUAGUACUUAGGCGAUUCUGGAUCGCAGCGUCGCUAGNNNNNNNNNNNNNNNNNNNNNNNNNNNNNNNNNNNNNNNNNNNNNNNNNNNNNNNNNNNNNNNNNNNNNNNNNNNNNNNNNNNNNNNNNNNNNNNNNNNNGUCUUGGGACUUAAGGCCCAUACAGAUGGCUCGAUAAUCACAGUCAACUUCGCCGAUGCCGAGGGGCUCCAGCUUGAGAGAAACGGCGUGUGGUACAACGUGCCCAUUGUUCCAAAUGCAUUGGUUAUGAACAUAGGAGAUAUAAUGGAGGUACUGUGUCUACAGCCAGCUACAUGUAUAAUUGUUUGACCAUGUUCUGUGGAUUGUUAAGCUCAGAUUUAAUACAUCUCUCUAUUUUAUCCUUAUGCAUGCAGAUUUUGAGCAAUGGGUUUUCAAGAGCCUGGUGCAUAGGGUUGUCACCAACGCGGAGAAAGAGCGCUUGUCGUUGGUGCUGGUCUAUACGUUGGAGCUAGAGACACAACUUGAGCCGGUGUCAGAGCUGGUGGAUGACAAGAGACCUGCCCGAUACAUGAAGAUCAAGCUCAACGACUACAUGGAAAAUACCAUGACACUUAUGCCACUGGGACACUAGCCAUAGACGGCGUGAAGAUCUGAAUAUGAUUCCGAUGUAUGCAAGCUCGCUGAGUAAGAUCUAUGGUGAAGUAUCUUCCGUUGACCAGUUUGUAACGAGUUUACGUUUUUACCUAUUUCCCAGAUUUUUGUGUGUGUACUCCUCAUGUAAAAUGUUGGGCAGCUUGUGUGGUCGCAUUAAACCCUAAUAUAAAACUUAUCCGAUGUGSGCARCAUACGGAUGUAAAGGAUGGAAUAAAACUUAUCGAUUGUGUGCAACAUGGG